rnacentral:lncRNA from 1 species
GCAAUGGUUCCUCAAUUUGGCUCAAUGUUGGAAUUCCUAGCACAAGAACACACAUAUUAAAAAGUUCUAUCAAACAAACAAAGAGUGAACAAGAAGGAGUUUAGAGAUUUGUCCUUUCAAAGUCCUCUUCAACGUUCAUAGCAUUCUAAAGGCUCAAUUGCCUAGUUGCUCUUUGACUUUUAUACCAUUCUAAAGGCUCAAUGCCUAGUUGCUCUUUGACUCCAAGUUUGCAUAGGGGAAGUCCUAAUAUCUAAGUCCAAUUGUUCAUUUCUUUGCAUUUGGUCCACAACAAUCAAAACAAAACACAAGCACAAUAAUAUAUACACAAUUAUGUGCUCACGUGAGCAAAAGGCAAAUUGCAUUAACAUAAACAUGUGCUCAAAUGAGCAAAGGGAAAAGCAAAUGAAUAAUAUGUACAAGAAUAAUAAAUUGCAUAAAUGUAAAGGGAAAAAAGUAAAUGUUAAUAGUUAAUGAUUAGUAUUAGUGGUUAGUGUGCCAUAAGACAAAUUUAGCGCUAUGUUAAGCAAUCGUAAUUGGACUUAUGUAGAAGUCACAACUAUCUGAGGCCGGUCAAUAAUAAUGUAGGCAACAACACAAGUUAGAAGUCACAAUCGUAAUUGGACUUAUGUAGAAGUCACAACUAUCUGAGGCCGGUCAAUAAUAAUGUAGGCAACAACACAAGUUAGAAGUCUUGAUUAGUGAACCAAGUUCCAACAACUUGCCAUGCCAAAAAUAGGAUGAGAAAUGAUCUUGUAUUGGUUUAAGUCCUUUGCAUAAUUUAAGAAGCAAUUUAUCCUUAAUGCAAAGCCAUUCACUUGAUCAACUGAUCAAGAUGAAUUAGAUUUGAAUCAAGGAAAAUUAAACCUCCCUAAUCAAUGCUAACUAUCAACCUUUAACUCAUUGAUCAAAGAGCAAAGAAGAAGAAGAAGAAGAAAAAUGGAUAAUGGAAAUGAAGAAAAUAAAGUGCAUUAAGUGAAAUGGAAUGUACCAAUCCACAAAUGUUGACCAAAGAUAGGGAAGAUCAAGGUCAAGCCAUAAAAAACAGAAGUGAGAUGAAGAUUGGAAGUCAAGGAAUAAACAAAACAUUUUUGGCAUUUUUAAUAUUUGAAAAUAAACUUGAAUUAAAAUAUUAAAGAAAGGUCAAACUUCAAAUUCACUUCAAAUCAACUUUGAAAAGUCAAAGUGAGUUAUCCCAAGUUCAACAAGGUCAAACAAAAUUUGACAAAAAAUUUCAUCAUUUUUAAAAGUCAAAAACUAUUUUUAAUCAAUUAAAAAUGAAGAAAAAUAACCUAAUUGAACUAAAAUCUCAAAUAAAUCUCAAAUCAAUUAAUAAAUUGAUGAGAAUAUUUUCCAUAGAUGAAUCAUCAUUCAAAGAAGUUAGAAAAAUAUUUUUGUAAUUUUUGAAUAUAAAAAACUAUUUAAAAUGAAUUAAAAAUAACCAGAAAAGAGAAAAUUAUUAAAAAAUAGCAAAUGAUAAAAUAAAAAAUAUUAAAAAUCAUUUUUAGAAACUAGAAAAUUCAACAAGAAAAUAAAUGCCAAUCUGAGUCCCAGUAUUUUUUGGAUCAAUAAUAAAAGAGUAUGGAUUUUAGAAAUGAAAGGGAAUUAAAAAAUGAAAUAGAAAUAAAAUCCGAAAAUGAAAUAUGGAAUCCACACGCGUUGGAUCUAAGCUCAUUAAUUUGAGCUGGAUCAUCAAACGGCUCAUGCGAUGCGCGCGCACCCACACUCCAGUCAAUGAGUCACAUGGAUAUUAAAUAAAAGUCUAAACAAUGGAGGCGUGGAGAUUAAUCCGGACGGAAUGCAUCGUGUGGCACUCAGAGUUUGUCUGGCAACAGCCGGUGGCCAGCGCAACCGUGUCUCCCGGUGAGACAAAAAAAUGCAGGUUCAAAUGUUACUAAAUGAACAAUCCAGGCACUUCGAAAGGUGAAGUGAUGUACAUCACUCCUAUGCCAUCACUUCCACUCUAGAUUCUAUUAAGAGAGAAUCAGAGAUGGAAGUUUGGUGGUGUUCAACUGUUGCUCGAUUUCCAACAAUUAAACACCAAUAAUGAUGCCUCUAUAGAGGGACUUCAGACAACAACAAGAUCUAAGGCAAUGGAGCAAGUAUAAUGAGAUUCGAAGCAAUUUCAGUCGAGCAAAACCUUGGAUUGGAAGAAUUGAGUCACUCCUCUUUGGUUCCUUUUGCACACAGGAAGCUUCAAUGGAUCAAAUGAUGAAGGUCUAGGAACUUUAGAUCUUAAAAUUCAACCAAAUGCAAUUGAAUUUCAGAUCUGAAAAUUUGGAGAAAAAUGGAGUUUGUUCCUUUAGGUAUAGCUAGGGAUUCAAUCUUGCAGCAUUUCAGGCGCCUUCAGGUUACCUUUCAAGUGAAGCAAUGCAUUCUAUUUAUAGCUGGAGCUCCAGGAGAGUGUGAUGAGAACCGUGUGCAUGAGAAUUGGGUCCUCCAUGCAUGGGCCUGUACAUACGCAUGUGAGGCCCAAAAUCAAAUGGUUUUGCAUGCUGAACUCAAAUGAAUCAAAUUUGUACGUGCAAAUUGAAAGGCAUUGGCUUGUGCAUGAAGAUUCAUCAUGAAAUGCAUAAAUGGUCACAAAACUUCAAGUCUUCGAAAAUCCUUUUUGCAAAAUGGAAACAUAGGCAUGUAGGUAAUGGUUGGAAAGGUCUUGACAUAAGGAACAAAUGUUAUGUUGGACAAAAACUCAUUUGGAGUGUGGAAUUUUAUGAAAACAGGCCAUAAAGUUCAAUGUACAAAAUAUGCCUUUGAGAAUUUUGUCAAAAUGAACCACAUUCAAGCCCUUCUGUUUUGAUGAUGCAAGCUCCAAAUGAUAAAAUCUUCAACAUGAAAGUUGUAGAUAUUUUCAAUACAAUAAAUUGGGACUUAAAUUUUGCCUCAUUUGGAUUUUUGAUGAAGAAGUUAUGGGCACUUGAAGUUGGUCUUUUUCACUUUUCAAUACAUUUGGUCCAAAGUGACCUAUAAGGUUUUGCAUUAUCACAUGUAUUUAUUUUGGGAUUAUGAAAUUUUGUCCAACAUAAAAUUUUAAUUAGACUUCUUAAGAUUUACAAUGCAUUUGGUCCCCCCUCAAAAUCAUAAAAAAUGAAUGAGUUAUGUUCUUGGGAAGUUGACCUAAAAUUAGGGUUUCAGUCAAAAUGACCUAUAAUGUCUUGGAAUAGAAGAUGACCUUACAAGCUUCAAAUAAAAUUUUGAUGAACAUGAAAGUUGUUCAUAUUGUCCUUAAUAACAUUUUCUCUCUUGGGGUAAUCUCCAUUUGACCAACACAUAAAAAGUUAGGUCUCAGUGCAUUUCAAGAUAGUCAGAUGAAUUGACUGAUCAACUUCUCAAGUCCACAACUCAUACCUUGAUGAAUUGAUGAUUGAGGGCACUCAAAUUUGACCAACACAUAAAAAGUUAGGUCUCAGUGCAUUUCAAGAUAGUCAGAUGAAUUGACUGAUCAACUUCUCAAGUCCACAACUCAUACCUUGAUGAAUUGAUGAUUGAGGGCACUCAAAUAAGUUAAAAUAUGUAUGAAAUGAUGAAUUAUAGAACUUCCCUUGAUUUUAUUUGACCAUGGGUUGAGGUUGCUUCAAGGGCAAGGCACAGUUGAUGAACAAAUGAAUUAGGGUUUCCUUGGGAAACAAACCUCAAACCCCUUGACUUGCUUUGAUCAAAAAGGAUGAUUUGAGAUAAUUGGGAGGCAUAUUUGAUGGAUGAGGGAUUUGGGAACCAUUACCAUGCUUGCUUUCAUUUUCUCUUGACCAUAUCAUUGCACAAAGGAUCUCCUAGAAACUUUUGACCUUGUGACUGCUCAAGCUACAAACAAAAGAUGUUAGUGACAUAUUUUUGUGCUUUUGGUUAGUAAAUAAAAAUGAGAAAAGAAAUAAUAUACAAUUCAAGCAUGCUUGGUGAUCUCAAACCACUCACAAGGGGUCCCACCCAAAGGCAAAGGGAACCAAGAUGCUCAUGAUCCUUGAGGCUUUGCAAAUGCAAUGUUAUGAUGCCAUGUGGGAUCUUAGGGCCAAAAUUGGGGUCUUACAGGCUUGAAGAUCAUCAGUCUGUGCAAUAUGAUUUUCCUGAUGAAGAGAUCUUGUAUCUGAAAAUGAAAGAUUAUGAUGAACCAUUGCUUGAAGAAGGGCCAAAACCUGGUUCCCGUUGGGGCAUGGUAUUUGAUGAAGCUGUUAAUUAGUAUGGUAAUGGAAUUGGGGCAAUGAUUAUUACUCCUCAAGGCACUCAUUUUCCGUUUACAGCUAGAUUGACUUUAAAAUAUACGAACAACAUGGCUGAGUAUGAAGCUUGCAUUAUGGGGCUUGAAGAGGCCAUUGAUCUCAAAAUCAAAUAUCUUGACGUCUAUGGAGAUUCAGCUUUGGUUGUGAAUCAGAUCAAAGGUGAAUGGGAGACUAAUCAACUCAGUUUGAUACCAUAUAGAGAUUAUGCAAGGAGGAUAUCAACCUUCUUUACAAAGGUUGAGUUUUAUCAUAUCCCUCGAAAUGAAAACCGGAUGGCAGAUGCUCUUGCAACGUCGACUUCAAUGAUUAUGGUGAAAUUUUGGAAGAAGGUUCCUAAUUUGACUGUGAUGCAUCUUGAUAGGCCAACUCAUGUGUUUGUUGUUGAAGAGGUCAAAGAUGAAAAUCCAUGGUAUUUUGAUAUCAAGUGUUUUCUCCAAAGUGAAAUUUACCCGUCUGGGGCAUCCUUGAAAGAUAAGAAGACUUUGAGAAGAUUAGCUGGAAACCUCUACCUAAAUGGUGAUGUGCUGUACAAAAGAAACUUCGAUAUGGUUCUGCUCAGAUGCGUGGAUAGACACGAAGCAAACAUGUUGAUGACUGAAGUCCAUGAAGGUUCCUUUGGUACUCAUUCCAAUGGACAUGCUAUGGCUAAGAAGAUGUUGAGAGCAGGUUACUAUUAGUUGAAAAUGGAAUCUGACUGUUGCAAGUUUGUGAAGAAAUGCCACAAGUGUCAAAUUUAUGCAGAUAAGAUUCAUGUUCUUCCGACACUGUUGAAUGUCAUUUCCUCUCCAUAGCCCUUCUCCAUGUGGGGAAUUGAUAUGAUUGGCAUGAUUGAGCCCAAAGCUUCGAACGAACAUCGUUUCAUUCUAGUGGAUAUUGACUACUUCACAAAGUGGGUUGAAGCGACAUCAUAUGCGAAUGUAACCAAGCAAGUUAUUGUAAGGUUUAUCAAGAAUCAGAUUAUAUGCCGUUAUGGUGUGCCGAGUAAGAUCAUUACUGAUAAUGGAUCUAACUUGAACAAUAGUAUGGUAGAAGCUCUUUGCAAAGACUUCAAGAUUGUGCAUCAUAAUUCUUCUCCCUACAGACCUAAGAUGAAUGGGGAUGUUGAAGCUGCGAGUAACAACAUAUGGAAGAUCAUUCAGAAGAUGGUUGUAACCUACAAGGAUUGGCAUGAGAUGCUCCCAUUUUCUUUGCAUGGGUACCGUACAUCUAUUCGCACUUCAACAGGGGAAACCCCUUUCUCACUUGUUUAUGGUAUGUAAGUUGUGCUCCCAGUAGAGGUGGAGAUCCCAUCAUUGCGUGUCUUGAUGGAAGCCAAGUUAACAGAAGUUGAAUGGUUCUAGAUCAGAUAUGAUCAACUAUAUUUGAUUGAAGAGGAGAGGUUGACUGCCAUGUGUCAUGGUCAGUUAUAUCAACAGAGAAUGAAGAAGGAAUUUGAUAAGAAGGUCAAACCUCGCGUGUUCAGAGAAGGUGAACUCGUGCUCAAGAAGAUUCUAUCUUUAAAACCUGAUGCUAGGGGCAAAUGGACUCGUAAUUAUGAAGGCCCAUAUGUUGUUAAGAGAGCCUUUUCAGACGGUGCUUUGAUUCUUACAACUAUGAAUGGGGAAGAGUUCACUCGUCCUGUGAAUGCCGAUGCAGUCAAGAAAUACUUCGCCUAAAAAUAAAAGUACAACUCGCUAAGUUGAAAACCCGAAAGGGUUGCUUAGGCAAAAAUGAGUGUCUCAGUGGAUUGAAAACCCGAAAGGGAGUUCCAGGCAAAAGUUAGAGACUUAAAACAGAAAAUUUAUCCCGAGAGAUUGAGUACCCCACCUUGGGGAAAUUUAUGCAAAAAUUAGGGAUUAUGGCAAGUAACUGCGUUCGAUUGAUCUCUAGUCUUGAGCAAGUCAGUCAACUCGGAUUCACCAUUUUCAACCAAAACCAAGAACACAGUGGAUAUUGAAGUUGGUAGAAGGACUAAUGAUCAUUAUAUUCAGGUCAUCCCUUUUCCAUGUAAAUUACCAUUUUUCAACUUUUUUAAAAGAUCUAUGGAGUCUUGUCAUUUACAGGCUAUCAUUCUAUUAAAUAAAGUUGAGCUUUUUAUCCAAAUUGUUUCUACUCUUAUUUAUCUUUCAGCUAAAUAGAAUAGAAUUUUUAUGAUGAUAAUUUCAAAGUUUGAAUUUAAAAAUAAAAAAACCAUUUUUCUUAAAAUAAUAAAAGCAAUUACUUUAAAAAAAAGCAAUCGAUUUCAGUAAAGGGAUGUCAAUAGCAGUCUGAGAACAGGUAAGUCUUAAAGUACGGAACACUAUUGGUCUUUUUCCCAAGCAGUUGACACUUCAGUUUCUCCAGCCGAGUUUUGUGAUCGCCUCCCCAACUGAGUUGUAUGUGCAUAUUCUCAACAGUUUGCAUAGAUUCAGCACCGAUUUUUAUUCCCCUCAAGUCACCAUCAAAGUUUACUCCUAGACCCCGCCAUCACUGAUUCUUGAGCAGUAUUUUUUUGGUCCUCUACAAGGUUGUCUCCCAUUUUGGUAUGGCGUUGACCUAAAAUUCCUCGUAGAGUUGAUGAUGUAGAUCCUCAGUAGAUCUUCUCUCUUUCCCCAGUAAGGGUCGAGCUAUUUUGAGGUGGAUGAUUUAUGUUCAUCCCUAACUUUUUCUCCAGUUGAUGCCUCCAUCCUGUCGAGAUUAGUCGGGUGUUGUAUCGAUGAUUCAGAUCAUUGACAUUUGUAUCCUUUGUGAUUGUUUUGUCAGCAUAAUCAUCAAUCUUAUAUACAUAUACAUAUACAUUCAUACAUCAGAUAUUUCAUUAUUGCAUUAUUAUUUCAUUUGAUUCCCCAUUUUCUAAUCCUCUUCUAUGGUGAUAUCCUUUCCCCACGCAGAUUUGGUGCGUCUGUCCUUCCUCAGUUGUAGAGUGCCAGCCCCUUAAGAAGAGAGAAUUUAGCCUUUCUCAUUCCCCACUGAGUUAUUUCCCCGUGGAUGGUUAUUAUUCCAGCUUCCUCCCCAGUUGAUUGUCUGGAUGGAACCACUCCCCCUGAGUUAUAUCCUCACCGGUUCGAGUCUUUGAUUGACCAUUUCUUUCUAGCCUUUACCUAGAUAGAUGUUUUGGUCCCCUGAGAGUCUAUUACCCAGUAACUGGUAAUAUUCUCCUCGAUUUGCGAGUACCUUACUCUUUCCCAAUACCCAUUAAUAGUAAUAUACUUCCUCUUGUUUUCCCAGUGGAUUCGUUUUACGUCUCCCCAGGUAGUCUAUCCUUGAUAUAUUCAUCCUAACCGAUGACAAAUAUUCUUCUCUUUGGGUCUAUCCUUGAUAUGUUCAUCUUAACCGAUGACAGAUAUUCUCCCCUUUUUGGUUUUCUACCCAGUAAAAAGGUAGUCGUAACUCCUAUUUUCAUCCCCCAGAGGGUUAAUCCUUGAUAUGUUCAUCCUAACUGAUGACGGGUUUCCUCAUCUUUGCGAUCUUCUUCCCAGUAACCGGUAGUUGUAAAUCCUGUUUUUCCCUGCUGAGUCUAUCCUUGAUAUGUUCAUCCUAACUGGUGACAGAUAUUCUCUUUUUGGUAUUCUAUCUACUAACUGAUAGAUAUAAUUCAUAUUUUCUCCCCGACAGUAUAUCCUUCAUAUGUUCAUCUUAGCCUAUGACAAAUAUUCUUCCCUUUGAGUUUAUCCUUGAUAUGUUCACUUUAACCAGUGACGAAUAUUCUCUCUCUUUGGUCUUCUGCCUAGUAACCGGUAGUUGUAAAUCCUAUUUGAUAUUUUCCCCAAUAGGAUGUUCUUACCCAGUAACCGGUAACGAACACACCUCUUUUUCCUCAGCGAGUCAUCCUUGAUAUAUUUAUCCUAACUGAUAACGGAUGCCUCUCUGUCAGAUUAUGUUAUCUCCUUACCUAGUAACCGGUAAUAGGUAAUGUAAUUAUGAUACUUCUGUGUUGAAGUUCAUUCUUCCCCAGUUGAGUUUGAGUGCGUAUUUCCCUAUUGAAAUCUCCAUUUCCUGUUUGGUUCGAGUAUUUCAGUUUGGUUCUGAUUUACCCGUUUCCCCUGUAAAUUUUUCUUCUUUAUCCCCAACCGAGUCCUUCCAUUGAUUUAUUUUCAAGGAAUCCUCUUAUGUCUCCAGCAUGUUUUUUAGUCGUAACCUAGCAUACGCGCAACUUUUUAUCCCCCAGAGUCUCUGCCUCCCUAGUGAGUUUUCCUUAUGGAAUGCAUUAUGCUCCUGCGGACUUUCAGUCUCCCCGGGUUCUAUAUCAUAUGCAUCAUGAGGUCUCUAAGGGACCAAAGUUGGUUUCUAUAUGUUGUUAUUUAAGUCCAUUCUACAAAGUCGAUACGAAGAUUUUAACCUUCAUCGCCUCAGUUAGAAUGUCCUUAAAUAGGGGCAGUUGUAAGACCCCAAUUUUGACCCUAAGAUCCCUCAUGCCAUCUCAUCAUAUGCAUUAGCAUUGGGAUCACACCUUGGCAUCCUCCUUACCCUUCCUUCAUUGGGUUUGCAUUGGGACAGAUCACCAAGCACACUUAUGAUUGUAUCAUACUUUGCUUUUCAUUAUUUACUAACCAAAAUACCAAAAAUAUGUCAAUGUAUAGUUUGUUGCUUUUGUAGGUAGUGUGCAUGUUCACCUAUGCUCUAUAAAGCUCAUAUCUAGGGUUUAAGACCCUCAAUGUAAGGAGUGCAAUUAAGAAUUGGUUCCCAUUGGAUCUAAGCAUCAUAUAUGGAUCCCCAUGAUCUUCACAUAUCAUUUUGAUCAAGAAAUCAUCAAGAGUUUGGAGUUUGUUUGCCUUGGAAACCCUAAUUCAUCUGGGUAUCUUGUGUGACUUCUUCAACAUCAUAUAUGGAUCCCCAUGAUCUUCACAUAUCAUUUUGAUCAAGAAAUCAUCAAGAGUUUGGAGUUUGUUUGCCUUGGAAACCCUAAUUCAUCUGGGUAUCUUGUGUGACUUCUUCAACAAGUUUCUACAACAUUUGAUCAAAUAUUUCAAUGGAUAAUUCAUAUUACAUCAUCUUACACAUAUAUGAUCCUCCAUGAGUCCCAAAAGUCAAGAUAAUAUCAAGCUAGCAAGUUGGUUCAUGGUGGUUGACCAGAGAAAGUCAACUGGUCAAAACUGGGGUUCUCUAGACCAUAUCUCCUACAGUUUUUGUCAUAUGAAAAAUGAUUCCAAGAUCAAAGUUACUCAAAGUGACAUUACAAACAACUUUCAUGUUUAAGUCAAGAUCUAGGUUUGCUUGGAAUGUAAUUUUUUAUGGUGAAAGAUUAUAGGUCAUUUUGUCUGAACCCUAGUUUGGAGGUCAACUUCCAAAGACCAUAACUUGCUCAAUUUUUAUGAUAUGGAAGCCAUUCAAAUUCCAUGAUCAAAUUCAAGAUGUCUACUUAAACUUUGAUUUUGGGAGGAAGUUCAAGUUCAACUUGCAAAUGGAUGUGCCAAGAGGAAACAUUAUAGGUCAUUUUGGGCCAUCACCAUUGAACAAGUAAUUUUCCUCAACUUCUAAAAUGCAUAACUCCUUCAUGCCAAAUCAAAAUGAGGUCAAAUUUGUGACCAAAUUGAAUAGGUUUUAAAGAGAUACAACUUUUAUGAAAUAAUGUUUCUCAUUUGAAGUCCAUAGAAAAAGUUAUUCAAGGUGGAAGAAGUGAGCAUUUGAUUUGGGACUUAGAAAAUUUUCAAAUAUGUUGGAUUUCCCAAACUUCCACCUCAAAAUCCAUCAUGAUACAAGAUUCAAAUGAAAACGUGUUCAACAUCAAAGUUGUUCCCCUUAAUCUCAACUUUCCAAAAAGUCCAAGAUCAUCUCAUUUGGCCAAAGGAUGAAGGACUUGCACAUGGGUGCAAUAUGAAGAACCAGUUGAAUGAUUUCCACUUCCACUUCUCAUACACGAUUGGAUGGCCUAACAACAUGAUUUCAACAUGAUUCUCACUCAUUUUUGGACCUGAUUGCAUCACUUAAUGGGCCCAUCACACUCACAUGCAAGCAUGCAAAGGGAAUUACUCAUUUUUGCAAAAUAUGGAAGUGUGUGGAAAUGAAUCUACUUGGGCUAUAAAUAAGACCCUCAUUGCUCAGAAUUAAGGACCUCAUGCCCAAACUUUGAACCUGCAACCCCAAACCCUCACCAUUGAAGGAUAAUAUUAAAGAUUUUCUUUGAAAAUCGAGUUUUAAAUCUCCAUCUGUUUUGAGAUAGAAAUCCAAGAGUCCAGACCUUUUCUUGAUCCUAAUCACUUCCAACAAGCAUCUGAAGCAAGGCCAAGCACAAUUGGAAUCAAGAUCGUGCCAAUUUGAAGCUCUAUUGAAGGUGAAUUUUCAUAAUUUUCUUCUCUUCGAUUCUCCCUCAAUUCUUCACCAUUCUUUGUGAUUUUUGGUUGUCUGAAGUCCUAUCAAUGUAGGCAAUAAGAUUGAGUUGCUUUGAGGUCAAAACGAAGAAACUCAGUUCAUGAUCCUCAAAAUUCAAAUCCCUGUAUCUUUUUAUAUACUUGGAAUUGGAGAAAAUUGAGGCCAGAUUCGAGCUCCUGAGCAUUUUUUCUUUAAAUCCAUGUCUUUGUUUUUCAUUUUGGUGAUGGUUGAUGGUGGACCAGUCCGGUGAGGUCCACCGGAGAAGAAGACCGGAGCCCUAGCUCCGGUGAUGCGUUGUUACACAUCUCAGCCACAACAUCCAUUUGAAAUCUUUUAAUCUCGUCCCUUGCUUUUGAUUACCAAGCCUGAAGCGCGUUUGACUCAGGUACUUGUGGAAUGCCCGCUUCUAGCAAUCAUAUCAGCCACCUCAAUUAAUAAGGGAGAUCUGAUGGCCCUUGUUUUUUUGAUUUUUGUAUUUUUAUGUUUAAUCCCUUUAUUUUAAUUAAUUCAUAUUUUUCUCUUUCAUUUUCUGAAUUAAAAUUAUUUUUUGGGAUUAAUUUUGAUAUUUUUCAUGAAUUAAUUGUUUUUGUGCAUAUGUUUAAUUGCUUAAAAAUACUUCUGACUUUUCAAAAUUUAUGAAUAUUUUGUCUAAGGUCCUUUGACCUUGUUUGACCUAGGAUAAAUCUCUUGGCCAUUUAUUUGGUAUUUUGAAGAGGUUUUAGGUUUUGACAAAACUAAAUUUAAUUUUAAUGCAAUUUUAAUUUGAUUUUUAAUUGAUUAAUUGUGUAGAAACUAUGUUGAGCCAUUUUUAUUGACUUGUGAAGUUUGACUAUGUGUUUGGGCCUUGGUCAAGGUUGAUUUGACUUUUGUUGAGUUAAAAUCAUUGAAUUUAGGGGAUUGAUGAAAUGUACAUUUUUUGCUUCCAAAAUGAAUGAAUGAUUUUAAUUUGAUAAAAUUCCUCCCAUGACCAAUUUGUGUUUCUCUCACCUCCACUCCCUCUUCAUCUUCAAUCCCAUUCUUUCCCAAACCUACCAUUGACCAAUGAAGUCUCAAUAUCUUAAGGCUAAUUGGUUCAUCAAUAACUUUGUGUUAGAUGAACCAAUAUAAGUAUGGAUGAGAUAGGUUCAUCCUUUGAUCUUUUUUUUCUUUUUUGUGUGUGGCAUGUUUUAGGAGUAUGGUUCAUUAUACCAUAUCUCUAACAUACAUUAACACCAAAAUUUCUAUUGCCUGGCCUCAGAUAGUUGUGACUUCUACAUAAGUCUAAUUAUGAUUGCUUAACAUAGAGAUAAAUCUUGACCCAAAGGCAUAACAUUCUAGUAAGUGAGAUUGUAAGUCUCCCCACUUUCAUGGUAUUGUGUGGAAACUUGACAUUUUUCCUUCCUUUAGAAGAUGUUUUUUGGUUCAAGGAUCCAUGCUUGUGAAUAAAGGGUUGAGUGUUCUUUAAAGAAUGACUUAAUCAAUUGAAAAUCAAAAUAUUACUAACAUCUAAUCAACUAACAUUUGACUAACUUUUAUUAUUAUUUCUUUUAUUUUUCAAGUCAUUUACUUUAUGCAAUUUAAAUUCAAGUCAUUUAUCAUUUCAUUUGUCAUUUACAUAUCAUUUAACUUGUUUAUGUUUAUGUCAUUUUCACUUUGCUCAUUUGAGCCAUAAUAUUUUUCAAGUCAUUUACUUUAUGCAAUUUAAAUUCAAGUCAUUUAUCAUUUCAUUUGUCAUUUACAUAUCAUUUAACUUGUUUAUGUUUAUGUCAUUUUCACUUUGCUCAUUUGAGCCAUAUAUUGUGAUUGUACAUAUUUGUUUGUGUAUUUUGUUUGUGUUUAUGGUCUUAGGACCUUAAAAUACUUAAUAAACAACAAAAACCCUAACAAAUGUUUGUGUGGACUAUUGGGUUUGAUCUGAGCUUUUGGACUUAGAGUUAGGCAACAUUCCAUAUGCAAAAGGACUUGGCCAAUGCCAACAUUUCUGAAACAAAGUUAUUGUGAUUUGAGCUUUCAUCUGAUGCAAAUAUUGGGAUCCUCAUGAAUUCAUAUGCUACAUGGCCUGGAUACAACUGUUACUAUGAACCUGUGUCUAAUGCCUUAUUUUGAGCUAAUCAAGGAGUAUGUCAUCUGAUACUUGAGAAGAUAAAGAAGAUUGUUAGCUGUGAAGUUGCUUGCUUGGAUGUGGCCAUCUUUAUUUGAUGCCUUGCUUGAUAUUUCUAAUUGCUUGUUGAUUAUUGCUUGGUACAAAGUCCAAAAGGGAAAAUGGGUUUUCUAUAUAACAUUCUUGUCUGUUGGAUUGCAUUCCAUUGGUCAGAUCUUUUCAACUUUUAACUUUUAAUUUUUAUGCUUAGGAUUAGUCUCUUCAUCUCCUCCCAUUUCUUAAAUUUCAAAAUCUCUCCCCCCUGUCAAAACCUUUCUUUGCUUGUGAUUUCAAACUUACACUCUUUUGCAAAUUAGAAACUUUGGCCUUAUGUCAUUGCAAUUUUAAACUCUUUUCUUAAUCAAAUUUGUUAACGAACUUAACCAUAUAUACUUAAAAUUUCAAAAGACAAAAAGAACUAACACCCAUUUCUACUCAACAAACAACUGCAUCUACCGAUGUUGUCUCACCCCCCAUCCACAGAGAACCCCACAUUCUUGAUUGUGAACCUCACAUCCAUCUUGUAACACAAUUUGAGAAGCUUGAGGUACUGUGCGAAUCGCUGGUAGAUUUUGACAAUAUGAAGCUUAAUGGCAUAGACCUUACUGAGGCGUUAAGAAUGCAAGGGUGGGAAACCUACUUUCAGAGACUCUAUGGUCCGAUGUACACGUAUCUGGUGAAGGAGUUCUAGCGUUUAGCAAACUCAGAUGAUCACUAUAUCGUCUCUCACGUUCUGGGAGUCAAAAUAAUCAUCACUGAAAAAUCAAUAGCCUCCCUUCUGAACAUGGAAAAGACAAGAGGAAGAAGAAUCUACAACAUUAAUCCUAGGGCAAAGUAUCUGUCCCAAGAAAUAGCCCCCACCAUCUUUCAACAGAACGUUGAGGGCAAACACUCCAAAAACAAAGAACUUCAUCAGAAUCUCCGCGUCUGGCUGAAGAUCAUCCUGGGCACAAUCCAUCACCGCCCUGCAUCAAACUCUUAUGACUACAUCAACACGGAUCAGAAGUGCAUCCUUUACUGCAUCCACAAAGGGCUGAAACUGAAUCUGCCAGCGCUGCUCUUCAAGUAUCUCAAAGAUUCUGUCAAAGAUACCAGAAAUAACAUGAAGACCAGAACCUACAUUCCUCUGGGAAGACUUAUCUCGGAUGUUCUGAUCGAGAGUGGAUUGGUGGAUCAUCUGAUCCGUCAUAAUCUGAUGGAAGAUGUCACUAUUGACACUCGAAGACCUCUGAAUGCACAAAAUCUGAAGAGUAUGGGGGUAAUUGAGAAAGUCAGAGCUAAACCAACUCUAGACACUUCCUGGGAAGCACUGAAGGACCCGAGGAAGAUCCCCAACGGUCUCUACCUGUUCUCCAAGAUUGACCCUCCAGAAGUGGUGGCUCAUUAUCUAUAAGAUCUUGCAAACCAAGGGGUGGACAUUUCUGAGUUCUCAGUGGACUUUCUACCUGAGCAUCCACCAAACUUCAUGAAGAGGAUGUGAGAGCCCUCUGAGAAGUCCAAGAAGGAAAAGAAGGCAAAGUUGGGAGAAAACUCCAGGUCAAAACCUCCAAUCCCUCUGGCUAAUUCUCCAAGUAAGUCUAUGCCUCCUUCUCGCUCUAUUAAAUUAAAGCCUAUUGAUUCUUCUACCCCCCAUAACACUCCCAUUUUCACCCCAUCAGAAACACCUCCCUCAACCACCAGAACUUCUAACCCACCAUCCCUAAAAUUCAAUCUCACAACCACUACCCUACCUGUUUCUGAAGUAGAAAUGCUGAACGAAACCACCUCACCAUCAUCUUCCUCACCUUUCUCCCCACCAUACUAUAUUCUCUCAUCAGACAACGAACCAUCUGACCCCUAAUCCCCCUCUCUAGCUCAACUUCAGGCACGUGCUCUGGCCUCACAGCAACCAUCACAACUUGAACCUAAACCUGAAGUCACGUCUCCACCCCUUGAACAACAAAAUCCAGAUCUAUUUGAUCAACCUUAAACACCAACCCCUGAACAACAAACUAAUCCACCUCCUGAAAUACCCUCACCAUCUGAACAUCAACCAAAUCUACAACCUGAACAAAUAACACGACCUCCCUCUAAUAUUCCCCCGCCACCAACCUCUGAUGCCAUCAUCACAUCCACUCACGAUCCCGCUGACACCAAUCCAACUCCACCAUCCUCCCAAGCCUCUAACUCUGAACCAGAAACUGCCUUCCCCACAUUAGAAGAAGCAAUAACUUUAUUUGUAGAGUCUUCAGUGGAGAAGAUCAAGUCUCUAUAUGUCAACUCUGGCAUCAGUGAUGAUCCCUCUACAAUGAGAAUCCACUGUAAUAGAGUGAUCAGAUGGAUGACCUCUAAAGCCUUCAAACUAAAAGGCCUCUCUGAACAAGUCCGCAACAACUUCAUCAGAGAUGCUGGAAUAACGCUACAGGCUCGCUUGGCCAGAGAGGAUGAGGAAAAGGCCAGGAAGGAAGCAGAAGAGAAAGCUCGCAUGGAAGAAAAGCAACGGAUAAGAGAAGCUGAAGAAAAGGUUGUUGCUGCUGAGGCUGAGGCACAAGCAAAAGCCGGAGCUAAAGAAGCAGCACACAUUACUGCAGAGGAAGCUGCCAAGGCCAGUGCUGAUGCUCUGACUCAGGGGGAGCAAUCUAACUCUGGUUUUGCCCCUCUGGUCUUAAAGUCUCUGGAGGAACUGCAAAAGGAACAACAUGUGAUACAAGCAAGGUUGGAUCACCAGGAUUCCGUCAACACCAACAUUCAGAAUCAGCUGACUCAGCUACUCCAAAGGAUGCCUCCACCCCUAAACCCUUAGGCACUUAGGCUCUUUGGUUGUUGCUUUUCUUCUGAUGUUUUUUUUCUUAUGCUUUCUGAUAUAUGGUUUCAUUGCUUCCUAUUUGUACCUAUUUUCUCUUAGAUAUGACUAUCCAUUUCCUGCCUCUAUUUCUGUCUUUUUGAUUCUGACAAAAAGGGGGAGAACUAAAACAAAUCUGAUGAAAAUAUAUAUCUAAACCUCUCAAGGCACUGCGGACAUUAAAUAUCUUAAUGACUUAUGAGAACUAAAGUUAUGCAGGAUAAUAGCUAAGGUACAAAACCAAUUACCCCACAAAGAAGGUCCAGUAAGAACUUUUGUUAAAUCCGAUGAUAUAACUCAGGGGGAGUCCAUUCUCUUUAUCUGAUUCUGAGAUAUUACUUACUGUUUCAUCAUCACUCUGACUUGUUUUGUCAUCAUAAAAAAGGGGGAGAUUGUAAGAACAAAUUUAGUUCUACAAUAUAUCUCUAAGAUUUUGAUGAUAACAAAGGAUGAAACAAAAAUGGUACCCUAACGAAAUUUUUUCUAAGUGCGCAGGACUCUGAUCAAAAUAAUUAGAUAGAUAAUCAUCAGAUACAGAAUCAAGCGCUAAGAUGCUUCUCAGAAGAUACGCAACCAGAAGCUCUGACUCUGAUCAAACACAAGUGCAAGCUAAACUAAAGAAGUCAAACACUCUGAAGUGGAAGAACGACUCUAGAUCUGAAGAUGUACGCUCUGACAUAGUCAAAGUAAGAAAGAAACUCUGAAGAUAGUCAGCAACAAGCAUCAUCUGAAGUGGCAAUCAAGACUCUGACGUUAGGAUCCUCUGAUCCAGAAAGCUUAACCGCGAAGAAACUCGCUUAUGGAAAGAAACUAUUUUUAGAAGGAUGUUAUGACGCUCUAAAUAUUUCUUUGGAAAGAACAUGAAGAUUAAUGACUUUAAUCAUCCUUCAAUGCUCAAGAUUCUGACAUUAACAUCACUCAAUGAUCUGCUCUCUACUCCUAUAUAAAGGACGAAACACCAUCCAAAGAAUACGUCUGAAACGCACGAGAAUACAGUACUUCCGCCAUUCACUGUUCCUUCUCUCACGAGCUGCUGCUCUAACGUGGGAAUAUUUCUUGCUCUUAUCUUGUGUAAUAUCUGCUUAUUGCUAGAAGCGUUAUUCAUUACUGUAAUCAUACUAUUGCUAAGAUAAUUCCUCAAGUGACUUGUGAAGUCUGAAAACUUGAGACGACUAAGGGAUUAUUUUUCUCUUAGACGGUUGUUUGUGUAAUCUUUCAAGAUUAAUGGAUUAAGUCCUUUUGAAGGCGGAAUCACCUUGACCGGGUGGACUGGAGUAGCUUUGUAUUUCAAGUGAACCAGUAUAAAAUUCUGUGUUGAACUCUUUUUGUUUCUGCAUGUGUCUAAGUUCUAAAAAGUUUUUAUUUUCCUGAAAACAAAUCAAACCCCCCUUUCCUGUUUUUCUCUACCUUCAAUUGGUAUCCGAGCUUCAGCUCUGUUAUUGAUUUUCUAAUCAAACACUUAAUAGUGUAGAGAGAUCCAUUGUGAGAAAAACACUAUGGCCAACACCAAUGAAAGAGAUAGUUACAAUGCUAAACCUCUAAUCUUUGAUGGAGAAAAAUUUGAUUACUGGAAAGAUAGAAUUGAAAGUUUCUUUCUGGUCUAUGAUGCUGAUCUGUGGGACAUAGUUACUAUUGGCUACAUACCUCCUGUAUCUGACGAUGGCGUUGCCAUUACCAGAAGCAAGAUGAUAGAUGAUCAGAAACAGGACUUCAAAAACCAUCACAAAGCAAAAACAAUACUGCUGAAUGCCAUUUCCUACAAUGAAUAUGAAAAGAUCACCAACAGGGAAACAUCUAAAGAAAUACUUGACUCCCUGAGGAUGACUCACGAAGGAAAUUCUCAAGUCAAAGAGACAAAGGCUCUGGCUCUAUACAAUGAAUAUGAAAAGAUCACCAACAGGGAAACAUCUAAAGAAAUACUUGACUCCCUGAGGAUGACUCACGAAGGAAAUUCUCAAGUCAAAGAGACAAAGGCUCUGGCUCUAAUUCAGAAGUACGGAGCCUUCAAGAUGGAGGACGAUGAAGCUAUAAACGGUAAUGUUCUCUAGAUUUCAAACUUUAAUUGCAGGACUCAAGGUUCUGGAUAAAGGCUACAUAACUACAGAUCAUGUCAAAAAGAUAGUCAAAAGCUUGCCAAAGAAGUGGAGACCCAUGGUUACAACAUUAAAAUUAUCAAAGGAUCUGAACAAUAUCAGCCUUGAAGAACUCGUUAGUUCACUUAGAAGUCACGAGAUAGAACUUGAUGAAGAUGAGCCUCAAAAGAAGAUCAAAUCUGUAGCACUAAAAUCCAGAUCUGAAAGAUGCAAACCAGAAAGGAGCAAAGCCUUCCAAGCUGAAGAGGAAGACAAUGACGACUCUGAAAAGGAAGACUCUAACGAUGAAGAAGAGUUAUCCCUUUUGACCAGAAGAGUAAAAUGACUCUAGAGAAAAAGGAACAACAACUUCAGAAGACUAAGACCCAAGGGAGAUCGCUCAGAAUCAACUUCCAGAGGUAAAUAUAACAAAGAAACAACAUGCUAUGAAUGUAAGGAAACAUGUCAUUACAAAAACAAAUGUCCAAAGCUGAAGAAGGAAAGCUCCAGAAAAGAAAGUUUCAAGAAAAGCUCCUUCAAGACCAAAAAGGGACUGAUGGCCACCUGGGACGACAGUGGAUCUGAUUCCUCUGAAUCAGACUCUGAAGAAUAGGAAAAUGUUGCAUUCAUGGCUACCACCUCUGGAAACACAUCAGAUGGAGAAUCUGAUCCUGAAGAGGUAUUUUCCGAUCUUUCUCGCUCUGACCUUGAAUCAUGCCUUUCUGAAUCUUUGAACUCAUAUCAGAAACUUAAACAAAAAUUUAAAGCACUAAAAAGGGUUCUUGAAGGAACCAUCAAAGAAUGUGAUAAGCUUGAGAUGACAGUUUCAGAACUAAAAGAUGAAAAUCUAACUAUGACAAAAGAAAGAGACUCCACAAAUAAACAAUGUUUAAAACUUGAAGAAACUUUAUCUCAAGCCCCACAAACUUCUAACGCAAUGAUAUAUAAAUAUGAAAAAUCUUUUCAAAAGUUUCUGAAAAAUGGGAUAGAAAGAAGCAAAAUGGCAUCCAUGAUUUAUGGAGUCAGUCAGAAUAAUAAAAGAGGAAUGAGGUAUGAUCCUAGUGAAGAUAAAACUUCCACAGAUGACAAACCCAAAUCUCCUUUUUCUUAUCACUACACACAUGCACAAGCACAAUGUUUUGAUAAUGCUAGAAAACCCAAAGUUCUAAGAAACUCUGGGAAAACUAAUCACGAAGGAUCCAAAAGAUUCUGGGUACCAAAGGAUAAGAUUGUUUAUGUUGCAGAUAUCUUAUGCAGCAGAGUUAAGACACCAAUCAUGGUACCUGGACUCUGGUUGCUCGCAACACAUGAUGGGAAGAAAUUAUAUGUUCCAGAGCCUAGAACUUAAAGAUGUUGGCUUCGUAGGUUUUGGAGGUAAUCAGAAAGGAAGAAUCAGAGGCUCCAGAACUAUUGGUAAUGGAACUCUUCCCUCUAUAUCUGAUGUUCUCUAUGUAUAAGGAUUAAUGCAUAACCUGUUAUCAAUAAGCCAAUUAAGUGAUCACGGUUAUGAUGUAAUCUUCAAUAAAAAAACAUGUAAAGCAAUUAAUCAGAAUAAUGGAAUAUUUCUAUUCAUUGGCAAGAGGAAAAACAACAUUUGCAAAAUAAAUCUUUCAGAUCUAAAAGAUCAAAAUGUAAAAUGUUUGAUGUCUGUUCACGAAGAACAAUGGGUAUGACAUAGACGCUUGGGCCAUAUUAGCAUGAGAAAACUUUCUCAGCUAAAUAAACUCGAGUUAGUCAGAGGUCUACCUAAGCUGAAGUUUUCUUCAGAUGCUCUGUGUGAAGCAUGUCAGAAAGGAAAAUUUUCUAAAACAUUUUUUAAAAAUAAAAAUGUUGUUUCCACCUCAAAGCCUUUGUAACUUCUUCACAUUGACCUUUUUGGGUCUGUUAAGACAGCGUCAGUCAAUGGAAAGAAGUCUGAACUAGUAAUUGUUGAUUAUUUUAGUCGCUGGACAUGGGUAAAAUUUCUAAAGCAUAAGAGUGAGUCUCACUCUGUAUUCACUAGCUUCUGUUCUAAAGUGCAAAAUGAAUUUGACUCUAAAAUUAUCAGAGUCAUAAGUGAUCAUGGUGGAUAAGUUCUUUGAAGAACUGUUUGACUCUAAUGGAAUAUCCCAUGAUUUCUCCUGCCCUAGAAAUCCAUAACAAAAUGGAGUUGUAGAAAGGAAGAAUAGGACACUCCAAGAAAUAGCCAAAACCAUGAUCAAUGAAACAAACUUGGCUAAGCACUUUUGGGAUGAAGCAGUAAAUACAACGUGUUAUAUUCAAAAUAGAAUCUCUAUAAGACCUAUUCUGGAAAAGACUCCCUAUGAACCGGGUAAGGGAAGAAAACCCAACAUUUCUUAUUUCCAUCUGUUUGGAUGCUCUUGUUUUAUUCUCAAUACUAAAGAACAUCUGAACAAGUUUGAUUCAAAAGCAUAAAAAGGUAUUAUGUUAGGAUACUUAGAACGCUCUAAAGGCUACAGAGUAUACAAGACAGGAACCAAAAUUAUGGAAGAAUCAAUACAUGUUAGAUUUGAUGAUAAGCUUGAUCCUGAAAAGUCAAAGCUAGUUGAGAAACUUGCAGAUUUGUAGAUAACUCUUGCAGGCUCUGACGAAAAGACUAAAGCAUCAGAAGAAUCUGAGAAACAAAGUCCAGAUGCAACUGAAGUUUCAACUAUCUAGAAAAUAUCAAAAAAUCUCCCUAACAUCUCUGAAGAUUUGAUUCUGGGAAACAAGGAUGAACCUGUCAGAACUAGGUCAACAUUUAAAGUAUCUGAAGAAACUCCUCUAGGACUAGUAUCUCUAAUCGAGCCUACUUCCUGUGAUGAGGCACUUCAAGACAAUGAUUGGGUUCUGGCAAUGAAAAAAGAACUGGAUCAAUUCGCAAAGAAUGAUGUCUGGGAUCUUGUCCCAAAGCCUAAAGGAACUCACAUUAUUGGAACAAGAUGGGUAUUCAGAAACAAACUGAACGAAAAAGGAGAAGUAGUAAAAAAAAAGCACGAUUGGUGGCACGGGGUUACAGUCAACAAGAAGGCAUUGACUACAAUGAAACCUUUUCCCUAGUCUCCAGGUUAGAAUCUAUUUGCUUACUUGUUUCAUUUGCUGUAAAUCAUUCCAUCAAACUAUAUCAGAUGGAUGUCAAGAGUGCAUUCCUUAAUGGUUAUAUAUCAGAAGAAGUGUAUGUCAAUCAACCUCCAGGCUUUGAAAAUUCUGAAUGUCCAGAACACAUUUUUAAACUAAAGAAAUCACUGUAUGGACUAAAACAAGCUCCUAGAGCUUGGUAUGAAAGAUUGGGUAACUUUCUCCUGGAACAUGAUUUUAUUAGAGGACAGGUUGACUCUACACUCUUCUGUAAAAACAUUAGAAAUGAUCUCAUGAUAUGCCAGAUAUAUGUUGAUGACAUUAUUUUUGGUUCAGUUAACCCCUCUGUGUGUCAAGAAUUUUCUGAGCUAAUGCAGGCAGAAUUUGAAAUGAGCUUAAUGCAAGAACUAAAGUUCUUUCUGGGAAUUCAAAUCAAUCAAGCUUCAGAAGCUACUUAUGUAUACUAAAGUAAGUACAUAAAAGACAUUCUGAAGAAAUUCGAAAUGGCAGAAUGCAAACCUGCUAAGACACCCAUGCAUCCAACCUGCAUUCUGGAGAAAGAAGAAACUAGUCAAAAGGUUUACCAGAAGCUCUAUCGUGGUAUGAUAGGCUCUCUUCUCUAUCUGACUGCUAUAUGCCCUGAUAUUAUUUUUAGUGUAUGUCUUUACGCCAGAUUCCAAUCAGAUCCUAGGGAAUCUCACUUAAUAGUUGUUAAAAGAAUCCUAAGGUAUCUGAAAGGAACCCCUAAUCUUGGCCUGAUGUAUGAGAAAACAUCAGAGUAUAGGCACUCUGGUUAUUGCGAUGCAGAUUAUGCAGGGGACAUAAUGGAACGAAAAAGUACAUAUGGGAACUGUCAGUUCUUGGGAAAUAAUCUCAUAUCAUAGGCCAACAAAAGACAGUCAACCAUCGCCUUGUCUACUGCAGAAGCAUAAUAUAUAUCAGCUUCACUAUGCACUACUCAGAUGCUCUGGAUGAAAAAUCAACUAGAAGACCUUCUGCUCUUCGAGAGUAACGUUCCUAUCUUCUGUGAUAAUACGGCUGCCAUCUGUUUAAGUAAGAAUCCUAUCUUGCAUUCCAGAGAUAAGCACAUAGAAAUAAAACAUCAUUUUAUCAGAGACUAUGUUCAGAAAGGGGUAAUAUCAUUAAAAUUUAUUGAUACAUACCAUCAAUGUGCUGACAUUUUUACUAAACCCCUCGCUGAAGACAAAUUCUCUUUUAUUUUGAAAAUUUUAAACAUUCAAAUUUGCUCAGAAUAACCCAAAUGUACUUCUUUGAAAUAGUAAAAUAAGGCUCUGAGUUAAACAUUUGGUAUCUGGAUCUGACUCUGAUGCUUUUACCAGUUAGGAGUUAUCGGAAUCAGAAAUCUUCAGGAUCCAAUCCUUUGGUAUUCCUGAAGAUCAGAUAAAUCAACACGUGGGGCAUCAUGCGUCUGACUUUGGAUCUUCUAGACAGCUGUCUAGCAGAAAUCAAGAGACAGACCCUUGAAAUCUCCUCGAGCAGUGUGCUGAUCUGGGGAUUAGACCUCCAUCAUGGGCUGUAAUCAUUUCUCCCCUAAGCGUGUAAACUUGGAUAACGUGCAUCAUUAAUUUCAUAACUUCUAAACUACCUCUAACACUGUCGUUUUCCAUGCAUCUAUUUGGGUAUUAAUACUUUUCACUCAUCAUAAGCUCACACUUUACACUCACGCCCUACACAAACCCUCUCUCUCUCAGUUCAUCAUCUUCAUCAAGGUCUUCAUCAUCUUCAAAUCAAGUUCUUCAUCCUUCAACCAUUUCAACAAUUUCUACAUGGAUGCUCAACAACAAUCAGUUUAUAAUUACUCACAACAGAUGGAAUCAAUUGACCCAACACCUAUUUCUACUCAACAAACAACUGCAACUACUGGUGUUGUCUCAACCCCUAUCUACAGAGAACCCCACAUUCUUGACUUUAAACCUCACAUCCAUCUUGCAACACCAUUUGAGAAGCUUGAGGUACUGUGCGGAUCGAUGGUAGAUUUCGACAAUAUGAUGCGUAAUGGCAUAAACCUUACUGAGGAGUUAAGAAUGCAAGGGUGGGAAACCUACUUUCAGAGACUCUACGGUCCGGUGUACACCUAUCUGGUGAAGGAGUUCUGGCGUUUCAUAGACUCAGAUGAUCACUAUAUCAUCUCCCACGUUCUGGGAGUCAAAAUAGUUAUCACUGAAAAAAUCAAUAGCCUCCCUUCUGAACAUGGAAAAGACAGGAGGAAGAAGAAUCUACAACAUUAAUCCUAGGGCAAAGUAUUUGUCCCAGGAAAUAGCCCCCACCAUCUUUCAACAGAACGCUGAGGGAAAAUACUCCAAAAACAAAGAACUUCAUCAGAAUAUCCGUGUCUGGCUGAAGAUCAUCCUGGGCACCAUCCAUCACCGCCCUGCAUCAAACUCUUUUGACUACAUCGACAUGGAUCAGAAGUGCAUCCUUUACUGCAUCCACAAAGGGUUGAAACUAAAUCUGCCAGCGCUGCUCUUCAAGUAUCUCAGAGAUUCUGUCAAAGAUACCAUAAAUAACAUGAAGACCAGAACCUUCAUUCCUCUAGGAAGACUUAUCUCAGAUGUUCUAAUCGAGAGUGGAUUGGUGGAUCAUCUGAUCCGUCACAAUCUGAUGGAAGAUGUCACUGUUGACACUAGAAGACCUCUGAAUGCUCGAAAUCUGAAGAGUAUGAAGGUAAUUGAGCAAGUCAGAGCUAAACCAAAUCUAGACACUUCCUGGGAAGCACUGAAGGACCAGAGGAAGAUCCCCAAUGGUCUUUAUCUGUUCUCCAAGAUUGACCCUCUAGAAGUGGUGGCUCACUAUCUGCAUGAUCUUGCAAACCAAGGGGUGGACAUUUCUGAGUUCUUAGUGGAUUGGCUACCUGAGCAUCCAUCAAAAUUCAUGAAGAGGAUGCGAGAUCCCUCUGAGAAGUCCAAGAAGGCAAAGAAGGCAAAGUUGGGAGAAAACUCCAGGUCAAGACCUCCAGUCCCUCUGGCUAAUUCUCCAAGUAAGUCUAUGCCUCCUUCUCGCUCUGUUAAAUUAAAGCCUAUUGCUUCUUCUCUCCCCCAUAACACUCCCAUUUUCACCGCAUCAGAAACACCUCCCUCAACCACCAGAACAUCUAACCCACCAUCCCUCAAAUUCAAUCUUACAACCACCACCAUACCCGUUUCUGAAGCAGAAAUGCUGAACGAAACCACCUCACCAUCAUCUUCCUCACCUUCCUCCCCACCAUACUAUAUUCUCUCAUCAGACAACGGACCAUCUGACCCCCAAUCCCCCACUCUAGCUCAACUUCAGGCACGUGCUUUGGCCUCACAACAGCCAUCACAACUUGAACCUGAACCUGGAGUCACCUCUCCACCCCCUGAAUAACAAAAUCCACCUCCAUUUGAUCAACCUCAAACACCAACCCCUGAACAACAAACUAAUCCACCUCCUGAAAUACCCUCACCAUCUAAACAUCAACCAAAUCUACAACCUGGCAAAACAACACGACCUCCAUUUGACAUUCCCCCGCCACCAACCUCUAAUGCCAUCAUCACUCCCACUCACGAUCCCGCUGACACCAAUCCAACAUCACCAUCCUCCCUAGCCUCUAACUCUGAACCAGAAACCGCCUCCCUCACAUUAGACGAAGAAAUAACUUUAUUUGCAGAGUCUUUAGUGGAGAAGAUCAAGUCUCUGUCUGUCAACUCUGACAUUAGUGAUGAUCCUUCUGCAGUGAGAAUCCACUGUAAUAGAGUGAUCAUAUGGAUGACCUCUAAAGCCUUCAGACUGAAAGGCCUCUCUGAACAAAUCCGCAACAACUUCAUCAGAGAUGCUGGAAUAAGACUACAGGCUCGCUUGGCCAGAGAGGCUGAGGAAAAAGCCAGGAAGGAAGCAGAAGAGAAAGCUCGCCUGGAAGAAGAGCAAAGGAUCAUAAAAGCUGAAGAAAAGGUUGCUGCUGAAGCUACUACUGCUGAGGCAUAGGCACAAGUAAAAGUCGAAGCCGAAGAAGCAACACACAUUGCUGCAAAGGAAGCUGCCAAGGCCAAUGCUGAUGCUCUGACUCAGGGGGAGCAAUCUAACUCUGGUUUUUCCCCUCCAGUCUUAAAUACUCUGGAGGUACUGCAAAAGGAACAACAAGUGGUACGAGCAAGGUUGAAUCACCAGGAUUCCGUUAACACCAACAUUCAGAAUCUGCUGACUCAGCUACUCAAAAGGAUGCCUCCACCCCGAAACCCUUAGGCACUUAGGCUUUUUGCUUGUUGCUUUUCUUCUGAUGUUUUUUCUUAUGCUUUCUGAUAUAUGCUUUCAUUGCUGCCUAACUGUACCUGUUUUCUCUUAUAUAUGACUAUCUAUUUCCUGCCUCUAUUUCUGUUUUUUUGAUUCUGACAAAAGGGGGAGAACUAAAACAGCUCUGAUGAAAAUAUAUAUCUAAACCUCUCAAGGCACUGCGAACAUUAAAUAUCUUAAUGACUUAUGAGAACUAAAGUUAUGCAGGAUAAUAGCUAAGUUACAAAACCGACUACCACACAAGGAAGGUCCGGUAAGAACUUUUGUUAAAUCCGAUGAUAUAACUCAGGGGGAGUCCAUUCUCUUUAUCUUAUUCUGAGAUAUUACUUACUGUUUCAUCAUCACUCUGACUUGUUUUUUCAUCAUCAAAAAGGGGGAGAUUCUAAGAACAAAUUUAGUUCUACAAUGUAUCUCUAAUAUUUUGAUGAUAACAAAGGAUGAAACAAAAAUGGUACCCUAACAAUUUUUUUUCUAAGUGUGCAGGACUCUGAUCAAAACAAUCAGAUAGACAAUCAUCAAAUACAGAAUCAAGCGCUAAGAUGCUACUCAGAAGAUACGCAACCAGAAGCUCUGACUCUGAUCAAACGCAAGUGCAAGCUAAACUAAAGAAGUCAGACACUUUGAAGUGGAAGAACGACUCUAGAUCUGAAGACGUACGCUCUGACAUAGUCAAAGUAAAAAAGAAACUCUGAAGACAGUCAGCAACAAGCAUCAUCUGAAGUGGCAAUCAAGACUCUGACGUUAGGAUCCUCUGAUCCAGAAAGCUUAACCGCGAAGAAACUCGCUUAUGGAAAGAAACUAUUUUUAGAAGGAUGUUAUGACGCUCCAAAUAUUGCUUUGGAAAGAACACGGAGAUUAAUGACUUUAAUCAUCCUUCAAUGCUCAAGGUUCUAACAUUAACAUCACUCAACGGUCUGCUCUCUACUCCUAUAUAAAGGACGGAACGCCAUCCAAAGAAUACGUCUGAAAACAAUUCAAACCCCUUUUUCUUGUUUUUCUCUACCUUCACUAUCCAUGUAACCAACCUCCUUACUUGUAAUCUCUGGCAUUUUAUUUGUUUUGAUUUGAAAACUUCUUAUCUUUGGGUUUUGUUCGUACUUUUCCCUUUUCCUUUGGAAACAAUAAAAGCGCGGUGGCGACUCUGGUUUUAUUGACGUUAAGUUUAUCCAUAGCUUAAUGUUCAUGAAUUUACCGCUACAGAUGUGAAUUAAAAUGGCAUAGAGAAUGGUCAAUGGUACCAAGGUCAAGACAAUAUGGACUUAGGAAUGAAUGGUUGACUUUGGUCAACUAGUUGACCAAAAAGUCAACUAUAGGCUAGAAACUAUGGGUUUCUUGUGUAAAAUGGACUUGUGUAGAUGUCUUGUAAUGUAAGCAAGGUUUUGAAUGAAAUGCAACUUGAUUUUGAACUUAAAUGAAACAAUGACUUAUUCAAAUGUUAAGCAAUAUGAAUGAACCUUGCGUAGAUGGACCGACCAUGACGACCUAUAAUGGCUUAAGAAUCUUAAUGGAUCAAAGACAAAUGAAGGACCAAAAGAACAAUGCACUAAUGCUAGCAUGAAUCCAAGAAUCGAUGACCAAUGAUGGAUGAUCUUGACAAUACCAUAUGGAUGGAAGCAAUGACCAUGAAUCAAAACUUAAGAUCUUGAAAGCACCAUAUGAAUGGAUGUCUAAACAAAACCUUGAACCAAAUGAAAUUCUGAGCAAGUGGACAUGUAGGUCAAGUGGGUGAUUCUCAUGUACAAAGCAAGUUUGAUAGUUGAUGAUGCAUGACAAGAUGGUCAAUAACCUCUUCCCAAUGAACUAGGGUUUUAGUCAAUUCCAUGGUCAAAAGUCAAACCACAAUGGCACACAAGACCAAACAUCCAUGAUUAAGGUUUCAUGAUGCACACCCCUUAAUCAAGGUCUUCAAACAAAGUAUGAAACUCCAUAAUCAAUCUCCCAACACAUGGGCUCACAAUUAGGGUUUAGUGGCCAAAUCAACACUGAAGAGAUCAAUCACAAGAUCCCAAAGAAUCAAAGCCAAGAAUUAGGGUUUUCAUGUCAAGAUGAAUGUUAUGAUGAUAUCUCCUUGAAUCAAAGCCCAAAAGGGCAUGAAAUUAGGGUUUCCCCCUAAUGAUUCCAUAUGAUGAGCCAUACCACAUCUCUAUGGCUUGAUCCACAAUAAAACCCUAGCUUUGUUAGCCAUAAACUUUGAAUCUUUGAUGAUUAUCAUGAAUGAGUGAUGCACAUGAAUGAGUACAGAUGAAUCUCAAGUCAAGGGUUAGAUGAAAAAUGAAAAGGGGAUGGUAUAUUUUGGGUAUGACAAGAGGGUAAGAAGAAUAUGACCAAAAGAAAAGAGAAAAUAUUUUUGGAUAUUUUAUUAAUGUGCCCGACAAGAUUUAUAAAUCUUGCUCCUAUGUAUCUCCGGAUGCACUAGAGAACUUAAGGCUUAUGUAGUUCUGGGUAGAAAAUGUUUGUUUGUUGGCCGGUUUUAGCGAAAGCAACUUUGUGUCAAUCAAUGAAAACAUUUUGGCUACCUAAAACAAGUUGAGAAGGGAACGUUUGCAUCACAAUUGAAUGGAUUUACAAAUCAACAUUUGCGGGAAACAUCGCAAGCUUACUCAUACGUUCAAGUGGACGAAACGUUGCUUUUGCGUCGUCUCAAAACAAAAUACCUUUUGUUUGUAAAAAGGGUUUGAGGAUCAAUCGCACGGCGCGAGAAAGUGUUUAAUUGGUUUGAAGUAUUUUUUGGGUGAUGAGAGAGUUCGGAAGGGUGAAAACUACAUCUUGUAUCCCAACUCUCGGGAGCUCCUGGACUACACAUCGUUCCUUUUUAAUCUUAUUUAUGAAAAGAGUUUUGAUUUUUUUAGAUGUUUUGAAGUUUUUAUUGAUAAAAUGCACUCGAUGUUGAUCGAGGUCUAUUUAUGGUUAUGAAGAAGGUUUGAAGUGAUUAGAGGGGUUGAAAAUGAUUUAAAUGUGAAGUGAAAUAAAGUGGAAAUGGUUAAUGGUUUGACUUGAGAAAAAUGGCUCGAUGUUGGAUCGAGCACUUAUUAUUAUUUUUCUUCAAUUUUGAAAGUGGUUGGUUUUAUUCUUUUUUUGGUUAUUUAAAAGGUUAAUUUAACUAAAGGCAAGAAAAUAAAAACAAAUAAACACAAAUUAUAAUCUACAAAGGGAUGGAGAUACACUUGUCAAUCGGGGAAUAUGAUAAAGAAAUUAAAGUACAAGCAAAUAAACAAGUAAGUGCAAGCACGGAAAGAAAAAAAUCUCAUUGUAAGAAGACCCAAGAGUAAGCUAUGAGACCGAAAGUCGUACUCAUUGUAAGAAGUCCCAAAAGUAACCCAAUUGUAUUUAUCUCCAAGCUAACUUAGAGUAGAUUCAUAUGGGAAUCACUCUAUAAGAAGUCGAGCAAUACUCUAUGCGUCUAAAUGAUUUUCGAAAGUUAAAUUGAAUUUUAACUCCGAGAUCACAACACAAUAAAGAUAACGACAACUAAAAUUGCUUUACAUCCCACAUGGACAAAAACAAACUUAAUAAAAGACUACACACACAUUUGAAAUCAACUAAUCAAAAUUUAAUUAACAACAUAGAAUAAAAAUAAAAAAGUAAUCAAAUUAUAAUUUCCUAGAAUCAAAAUUAAAACAAGAAAGAAGCAAACAUAGAAAUGAGGGGUUCCUCAUUGACAUGGGUGUAUUGGCAUGGAAAAAUGCAUGGUUUCAAAUUGGAUAAGCCCAAAUUCUAAAAUUAAAAAAAAAAACAUAAAACAAAAAAAGAAAAAUUAAAAGAAAAUGCAUGCUGGUAAGGGCGGUGCUCUUGUUGGAAAGAAAAGCAUGAAUUUCCAUCUUGUAAAAAAAAACAAAUACACGGCUAAUUAGAUUAUGACACAUGGCGAUGCAAUUAAAAAAAAGCAAAAAAAAAAGAACAAGUACUCUUCAAACAUGUUCAAUCUCUCUCUUGUCUUUCUUCUAAAAGAACUUGCAUUAAAAAAUCCAUUUCUACAUGAUAUUGUUCAUCCAUUUCAACUAUCAGUGCUUAUGCAAAUAAUAAGUUCAAGCAAUCAGAAACAACAUAAAAAUCCAGCGACAUUUACAAUCAAACAAUGCAUUAUUCACCUAUCUCACAUGAAAACAUAUCGAUCAAAAACAUGGAAGAUCCAAAACCUACAAAGUGAGAGUUAUACCUUCUUGCUUGUGACUCGAGUCACAUAUAUUUUCCGGUGAAUAUGGUGAUGCCGAACGGAGCUCGUCGUUGUCGAUGAUGACGUUGUAGUGAUAUAUAGUAUGAAGUACACGGUGUUCUACAAGGUGGUAAAGAUCGUCGAAGAGACAAGGUUAUUGGUGUUCGUAUAGAGUAAGCGACAAUCAUGUUGUGUAGAAGUUUGAGGGUGUGAUGGUUAGGGGUGAGCAGGUUGGAAGUUGAGGUGUUAAGGUUAUGGCAGAUCGAGUUUGUUGUUGUUUGAGAAGUUAUUUAUGGAAGUUUGGAAGUCCAAGGACGGUUGUGGUUGGAUUGAUGUGCGGUUAUAGUGUGUUGGUUCAUUUGUGUUAUGAAGGGAGAUAAAUGGUUGUUUGUGAUGAUUGUCAUGGUAUAAUGGUGUUAAUAAGUAUGUUUAGUAGAGGGUGGAAAAGUGUUAUUCACAUGGUGAUGAUUUGUGAUUUUCCAGAGUAAGGACGGUGAAUCACGGAUGGAGAAGAUGCAUAGUGUUUGCAAGGUUGAUGGAGGUAUAUGUUAAGGAAGAAGGUGAGGUGCAUGGAAUAGUUGGUUUGUGUGGUUAGAAGUGUGAGAGACCAUGAACAAUAUGUGCUUCAAGAAAAUUUGUUGAAUACCAUUGAAUGCGACGCCUGUGUUUGGAUCGGUCGAGGUUUUUGUGUGGUCACUGUAAAUAGAGUUUUAAUGGUGGGGUUUUGUAUGUUGUAGUGUAUAACAAGUGGUUAUUGAAGUUGUAUGAUCAAAAGUGAAGAGGUUAAUGUUGUAAAGGUGGUUUAUGCAGGAAAAAAAUGUGAGGAUGAGGUUCUGUGUGAGUUGUGAUGAAGAUUUGGAGCUAAGGUGGAAAGAAGAGAGGAAAGGGUGAAGAAUACGCGGUUUUCCUAAGCAAUGAAGAACAAGAAAAAUCUCUCGACCCAACAUCAAAUUUUGGUCCCCCCCCCCCCNCCCCCCCCCUGUUAAUGUUGCUUUCUCUCCCACCUACUCAAUAAUUGUCAACAACUAUAAGGGCUGUUUUGAAAUUUUGAGGAAAAAAUGGCCAAUGAGAAGCAACCAUGUCAUAUGUGAGAGAGGAUAAUUCAAAAUUUUCAAGAUUCCCCAAAAUCUAGGGCUAGCUGGCAGAAGACAAUGGAGAGAUAUUUUUAUAUUUCCUUUAUUUAUUAUUAUUUUGAAUUAUAAAAAAUGAAAUUUGAUAAUUAAAUUAAAAAUAAACAGCACAAAAUGAAAUUAAACUAAAAACAUGGUUAAUUCUAAUUAAUCGUCCUGAUUAUUUUGGCAAGAAAACAAAAAUAAAUGGAUAGAAAAUGAACAAAAAAUCAAACGUAAAAGUGCCCUAAAAAUUAAACUGAAUGCACAAAAAUGAUCAGCACAAAAUAUACUUCUAAAAAACAUACAGGUUUUGAUCAGAUUUUGAAGUGAAAAAAUGGUUGGUUAAAAACCUCAGGCGGAUCAAAAUGUGACCGAAAAAGUAGUCGAAAAAAUAAAAUGAGCAUACCAGGUUAAACUACGUGAAACAUAGAUUAAUAAAACUGAUGUCUGCAAGCUCGAUUUUGAAAUUUUACGUCUCCUAAUUUGACACACAUUUGAAAAUUGAUUCAACCAAUUUGUCUAUAGAUCCGAAAAUUUAUUUUGGCUGACAUUCUAGGCAUUAUGUGGCGUGAAAUGUAUGUUAUGAUAUGCAAAGAUGCAAAAGAUAUGAUAUAUGUAUUGAUUCGACGAUUCAGGGUCAAAAUUGGGGUGUGACAGGGUACACCUGUCACUUGGCUAGAAGAACUAGAAACACAUGUAUGAGAUGUGGAUAGUGUUCUCGUAGAGUCUGAAAUCCCUAAGAAAUGUAGACUCCAUAUUGACCCAUCAAAUCACUUUGUGGUUGGACAAAUCUUUCACUCCUUGAUUCUUUGAAGAAGAUUCUUCGAAGGGAGACUUGUUUGAAGAAGGAUUUCCGUAGCGGAAACUCCUUGUUGGAGCCAUGGUCAUGAUAAUGGUGGCAAAAAAGUAGAAACUCACACAAUAAGAGAAAAGAGAAAGAAGAAUAAAUAUGUAAGAGAAAUGAUGAAUGAGUACCUUUAUAUAGCGUGAUUUCUGAGUUUAUUUCUGAGAGAAGAUCCAUAAAAUCAAUGGAGAUUUGGCCCAUAAAAGAUAAAUUUAGAAAAAAAAAAUCAAAAUAAGUUCUCUAAUCAAUUAUAAUUCAAGAUUAAUCGUUUAGAUCUUCUAAAAGAUUGAGAUUUGGCGUGUUCCUUAACUAUGAGCUAAAUUUCUUGAGUUUUGGAAAAGAUUCAUUAUGAUCUCACCUGAAUAUCUGAAGUAGAAAUAAGUUGUAAUUGAUUAUCCCUCAGGUAUAGUCGAUUAUCAAGAUACUUUCACCAUUUCUUUCUUCUUUUGGGCAUGAGGUUGGACUUGAUUGAUUGCUUUUUGGCACCCUUAUACUUCAUAAAUGCACCCUUGGGCUUAGAUAUUUCAAUUUUCCCCAUGCAAUCUUCCUAAAGGCAUAAAUAAUUCGAACCAAAUAGUAUGUUAGCGAUAAAAUAAUAUGUUAUCAUAAAAGACCAUUUUCUAGAUAAUCUUCUCAGAUUUUUCUGAUUUAAUUUCUAUUAAGUGUUUUACCUCCAAAAUCUCAAGAUAUCUUGAGAUAACUCCCCCUCAAGAGGAAAACAAAAAAUCAACUAUCAACAUCCAUCUAUAUGGAUUGGUUGAUACGAGAGUUGGCUAAAACAUCCUCAAGAGUGACACGAUCAACAAAAGAGACCAGGUUUUCACCUUAUGUACCCAAAUCUUUAAGGAUUAUGGUGUCUUAGUCACUUUAAUAGGUCUGGAAGUAUUCCCUCAAUAUAGUCCCCUUUAUCGUAGGUGGCUUAAGACACAUAUGUUCUUCUUCCUUUUGUGAUUCUUCAUAAGAGUCCUCAAAAGUAUUGUGAGGUAUAUUCUUGAAAAUAUCUUUGCAUGAAUAUCUUGAUGUUUCCUCCAUUAAUUCAUCAUUCAUUUCUACCUCUUCUUUACAUGAGACUUGAUAUGAGGGAUCUUUAAAAAUUCUUCUUGAACGUGAUUCUUCAGAAGUUUUAGAUGUUUGUUCUUCGAAUGUUCUUCUUGAUGGGUCUUUUUAUCAUUUCUACUUUCAAAGAUUUUUCUCGUUGGAACUUCUUCAAAUAUUCUACUGAAUGAAGCUUCUUUAAUGUCUCUUCUAGAUGUAGCUUAUUCAUCAAAUCCAUCGGAUGAUGACUCUUUAGGUGAUGGUUCAUCUACUGAGAUUGUUUGUUAGAAGGAAACUACCGGGGUCGAUUCAAAUUACUCUCUUGAUGAAUAUGAUUCUAACAUUCUUGAGUUUACUCAUUUAUCUUUCAAAUGGUGGAUAAAUUCAUUGAAUUUCUUGAUUAUCUCCUCCUUUCUAGAUUCUUCGUGAAACUCAAUAAAGGCAUGACUAUCAUUUGAAUUGAGGAUUGGAUCAGAUCUAUAAUUACAACUCAUAAUUCUUAUAUAGUUGUUGGAUACAAAAAUUCUAAUAUAACCUCCAUGGGUUCCAAUUAUUGAGUAUAAUCUAUGAGAGUGACUCUCAUAUUCAUUUGGCAUUCCAAAUUCAUAGAUUUUGGUGCUUGUUCUCUCUUGCUCGGUCUUUGGAGAAACUCCAUGAAUUAUUUCAAAAGUUUCUCACACUUCCUUGGCGGAAUCACAAUUAAAGACGUAACAAAAUUCCUUAGAGUUUAAAGCACUUAUAAAAAGACGUUUGACUUUAAAACCAAGUUUCACUUUUCUCUUAUCUUCCUUGGUCCAAUGAAAAUCAAGUUUACUUACUACUCUAUAAUUAAAGGAGAAAGUAAGAAUAAACUUACCAUUGAUUAAAACAUCCCACAUUUAAAAAUCAUUUUGCUUAAUAAACAAAUUCAAAUCUCUCCUCGAGCGACAACAUUUGCAAAAGGAUCUAGUCUAAGUGAGGUUACAUACUAACUCUUAUGAAGUAUUCACCUCGGGAGUCUAUACUACUCAACCAUCGUCCUUGUAGCGGGAAAUUCAUGAUCAUCAAGCUAUUGACAAGCUAGAGAUCAAUUAACAAGAGUCGCCACCGCGCUUUUAUUGUUUCCAAGGGAAAAGGGAAAAAGUACGAACAAAACCCAAAUAGUAAAAAAUUCAUGAUCAUCAAGCUAUUGACAAGCUAGAGAUCAAUUAACAAGAGUCGCCACCGCGCUUUUAUUGUUUCCAAGGGAAAAGGGAAAAAGUACGAACAAAACCCAAAUAGUAAGAAGUUUUUAAUUAAAAACUAAUAAAAGUCAGAGAUCACAAGUAAGGGGGUUGGUUACACAGAGGGAAGGUGUUAGCACCCAAAAUGUCCUAGGUACUCCUAGGGAGCCCUUUUUGUGUGCAUAUGUAUUUUGUACGAAGUGAUGUUUACAAACAAAUAGAAUGGAGGGAUGAGAAAAGAAUUCAUUAAUUAUAUUUUUGUGUUUGGCAAGACCUUCGGCCUUGUGCCUACGUACCAACAUAUAAAUGAGGGAUCAAAACCUCGUAGUUCGUGCUAUAAAUUUCAAAAUGAGUGUGUUGGUUUUAACAAAAUUUAAGUUUGAAAGGUACAAAGGCCUAAAAAUGGUUUGAAUGAGUUAGUUCUUUUUGUCUUUUUGAAAGUUUAAGUCAAGUAUAAUUAAGCUUAUUUAUAAAUUUGAUUUAAGAAAAUAAGUUUGAAAAUACAAUGGCAUAAGGCCAAGGUUUCUAUCUUUUUGCAAAAGUGGUCAAAGUUUAGAACAAAAGUAGUUCAGACAAAGAAGGUUUUGAAAAUGGAGUGAGAGAUUUUGAAAUUAAAGAAAUAGGGAGAAGAUGAAGAGACUACCCUAUGCACAAAAAUUUAAAAGUUUAAAGUUGAAAAUAUCUGACCAAAUGGGUAGCAAUCCAAUAGACAAGAAUGUCAAUAGAAACCCAGAGUUUCCUUGGACUUUUAGAAUCAAGCAACACACAAAUGCACAAUUAGAUCAAUCUUGAAGAGCAAAGGCAUCAAAUAAAGAUGGCCUCAUCCAAGCUUAUCCACUUCAUGAUCUUCUUCAAAAUAGCCCAUGUAGCAGAUGAAUUUCACAAGUCACAGGUUCAACAUAAGAGCUUAACAAUGAUGAAUGUUGCAGAUGAACUGGAGACAUCUUGAAUGAUGUAUAAGAUGAAUUUCAAAUUGCAAGCACUUGGUUCUUCAACAAAUUAUCAUUGGCCAAGUCCAUUAGCAAAGGAAUGUUUCCUAAGUUCUAAGUCCAAUUGGGCAAGAUCAAACCAACAGUCCACUCAAAAGUCUUUUAGGGUUUUUGUUGUUAUUAUGUACAUUAAUGGUCAAAGACCACACAAACAAGCAAAGUAUAUACACAAACAAAAUAUAUCAUACAAUAUGGUCCAAGUGGACAAAGUGAAAAUUACAUUAACAUAAAUAAUUAGAAUGAUAUGUAUAAUGGCAAAUGAUAUAAAGUGCUAAAAGUAAAUUGCAUUAAAGUAAAAGCUUGAAAGUAAAAGUUAAUAGUUAGUAAGUUAGUGGUUAGUUUUGUUUUGCUUUUGAUUUCAAGACAUUCUUUGGAGAACACUUAACCCACUUGCCACAAGCAUGAAUCCUUGAACCAAAACAUCUUCCAAAGGAAGGAAAGAAGGCCAAGUUUCCACACAAUACCAUGGAAGAGGGGAGACUUACAAUCUCACUAACUAGAAUGCUUAUGAACCCACUUGCCACAAGCAUGAAUCCUUGAACCAAAACAUCUUCCAAAGGAAGGAAAGAAGGCCAAGUUUCCACACAAUACCAUGGAAGAGGGGAGACUUACAAUCUCACUAACUAGAAUGCUUAUGCCUUUGAUGUCACAAAUUUAGCACUACGUUAAGCAAUCAUAAUUGGACUUAUGUAGAAGUCACAACUAUUUGAGGUCGGACAAUAGACUUUUGGUGUUAAUGCAUGUUGGAGACAUAGUAUUAUGAACUAUGCUCAUUAAACAUACCACACACAAAAAAAUGCAAAAGGUGUGGCUUAAUCUCAUCCAUACUCAUGUUAAUCUUUCAAUCAACUAGCAUUAGGACUUUGAGAUGUCAUUGGCCCAAAUGGAAAUGAAUGGAUGAAGAAGGGGAAUUAGAUGAAGAGGGAAGGGGAUGAAUGAGAUCACAAAUUGGUCAAAGGAGGAGUUUUACCAAAUUAAUAUCAUUAAUUCAUUUUGGGAGAUGGAAUGUACAUUCCAUCAAUCCCCUAAAUCCAAUGAUAUUAACUUGACAAAGUCAAAUCAACCUUGACCAAGACCCAACAACAAACAAUCAAACUCAAUUAAGUCAAUACAAAUGGUCAACACAAUUAAAAUGGCAUUUAAUCAAUUAAAAAUAAUAAAAUAAUGCAUUAAAUUCAAAUAUGUUUUGUCCAAAUCCUAAAAUCUCAUCAAAACACCAAAGAAAUGGCCAUGAGAUUUAUCAGAGGUCAAACAAGGUCAAAUGAACUUGGAGAAAAAAAUUCAUAAUUUUUGGACACUUAAAAAUAUUUUUAAAGAAAAAACAUCACUGAGCACGAAUAUGACCUCCAAUUCCUCCAAUUCCAAAUAUAUUAAGAGAUAUUUGGAAUUGAAAAAUUAGGUUCAUGAUCUGAGUUGCUUAGAUUUGGCCUCAAAGCAACUCAAUCUUCUUGCCUACAUUGGUAGGACUUAAGACAACUCAAGAAUCAAUGGAAUUGAGCAAUAAAUUGAGAGAAUCGAAGAGUUUAAAUUUUUUGCAAAUUACCUUCAAUGGAGGUCCGAACUUGAUAGAUCUCGAUCUGAAUUGUGCUUGGCUUCACUUCACUUGCUUGCAGGAGAGGAAUGGAAAAAUUUAGAAGCAAUGAACUCUUGGAGAAUUGAAUUCCAAAACAGUAGAGAUUCAAGCUCAAAUUCAAAUGAAUUUAUUAGGGUUAUCCUAUGAGAGUGAAGGGUUUUCAAUGGAGAUUCAAAGCUGGCGCAAUGUGUGUGUGAUUUCUGAGCAAAUGCAGCUGUAUAUAUAGCCAAAUCCAUGUGAUAUUUGCACACUCUUUUCAACCUUCCAAAUUUGGCAAAUGAUGAUAGCAUGGUGCAUGGGCGCGCAUAGGCCCAUGAAAUGAUAGCUCGAAGUCCAAAAUGAAUUAUCAGAUGUGUUGAAGCAAGCUUGGAAUGCAAGGCAAUUGUGCAUUGAUGUUUGAAGUUGGAUCCAUGCCAAAUGAUAUCAGUCUGGUUAAGCCAUGCGCAGCAGCCUAUGCAUUUCUCAUCCAAAAUGAAUGAAUUUGAGCUCUUUCGAAAGGUGAAAUCAAGAGGAACAAGUUUGAUGUUGAACACUUUUUCAUUUGGAGCUUGGAACUUGGAGCAAUUUGAGGUGGAAGUUUGGAAAAAUUUGACAUAUAAAUUUUUUUCUAAGUGUCAAGCCAUAUGUCUCAAUAUUCCACCUUGCUUAACUUUUUAUGGGAGCUUCAAAUGAGAAACGUGUCUUUAUCAAAGUUGUAUCUCUCUCAAAGACCUUAAAAAUGGUUACAAAUUUCAUGUAAUUUGGAUUUGAAAUGAUAGAGUUAUGCAUUUUUGAAGUUUGGAAAAAUCACUUGAUCAAUGGUAUAGGUCAAAAGUGACCUAUAAUGUAGCCUCAUAUCACAUGUUCAAAGAGGUUGAAUUAGCUCACACUCCAAACAUAAAAAUUGAAGUAGACACAUUGAAUUUUAUUGUGUAACUUGGAAAUAUUUCAUCUCAUAAAAAUUGAUCAAGUUAUGGCAUUGGGAAGUUGACUUUCAAAUUAGGGUUUAGACAAAAUGACCUAUAAUAUUUCAACAUAGAAAAUGUUUUUCCAAGAAAAACUAGCUCUAGGUCGCAACGUGAAAGUUGUUUAGAAUGACAUUUAGAGUAAGUUGUAUCUUGGAAUCAUUUUCAUAUGGUGAAAAUUGUAGGAGAUAGGGUCUAGGGAGACCCAGUUUUGAUCAGAUGAAUUCAUCUGGCCAACCACCAUCAACCAACUUGCUAAUUUCCAAUUAUCUUGAUUUCUGGCUCAUGGUAGAUCAUAUAUGCAUAAGAAUGAUGAAAUUUGAAGUGUCCCUUGAGAAAAUUAGCUUGUUGGAGAAGUUACUCAAGAUACCUAGUCAAACUAGGGUUUCCAAGGCAAAUCACCCUCAAACUCUUGAAGAAAACUUGAUCAAUAUAAUAUGUAGAUAUCAUUGGGACUCAUAUAUGAUGAUCAUAACCAUUCUUGAAUCAAUUCUUGGUUGUGCUCUUUGUUCAUGAGGGUCUUAAACCCUAGAUGUGAUCUUGAUGAAUCAAUGGGAUCAUGUCCUACCUACAAAAGAGUUAGACAACUACAAAGAUAUAUUUUUGGUAUUUUGGUUAGUGAAAUGAUAAAGUACAAGUAUGAUAUAAUCACAAAGUGCUUGGUGAUCUCUCCCAAAACAAACCCAAUGAAGAGGGGUAAGGAAGAUGCCAAUAUAUGAUCUCAAUGCUAAUGCUUAUGAUGGAAAUGCAUGCGGGAUCUUAGGGUCAAAAUUGGGGUCUUAAACUAUCUUAUGUUUUUCACUCUAGACUCAGGUAUAAAGUCUUUCCCACAUGGUUUGCAAUCACAAUAUCCAAGUGUCGCAACAUAAUGGAACGAAUACAACAAUUAUAUCAAUAUGACAAUAAAGAUAACAAAAACGAUAAAGAAAAGCCACACAAGUAAACAAAAAAAGGCACACAAACGACCUAAUUAGGAUUGACUCACUAAGGGAAACCGUUGUCCCCAGCAAAGUCGCCAUCUGCCGUACCUCGUAAAAAUGAGAACACGACCUAGCGAAGCGCAAUUGCACGCUUGCAAUGAUGGACUGAACAUAGUCGCCACCAAACUUUAUUUAUUCCUAAAAAGGGAAGUGUAAAUAUCGAUAAAACCCAAGAAAUAACGACAAUGAUUAUGAUCGUCGCAACCAAUAUCAGGGUUCAUGAGUCGAUUACCCGAGGGGAAGGUAUUAGCACCCCUCACAUCUGUUGUACUUGUAGCGGUAAAUUCAUGACCAUCAAGCUAUGGAUAAGCUUAACGUCAAUAAAAUCAGAGUCGCCACCGCGCUUUUAUUGUUUCCAAAGGAAAAGGGAAAAGCACGAAAAAAAACCAAAGAUAAGAAGUUUUCAAAUCAAAACUAAUGAAAUGCCAGAGAUUACAGGUAAGGGGGUUGGUUACACAGAGGGAACGUGUUAGCACCCAAAGUGUCCUAGGUACUCCUAGGGAGCCCUUUUUAUGUGUGUAGGUGUUUUUUGUAUAAAAGAUGUUUGAGAAAGACAAAGUGUAGGGAUGGGAAAAGAAUUCAUUAAUUAUAUUUUUGUGUUUGACAAGACCUUCAGACUUGUGCCUAUGUACCAACAUAAAAAUGAGGGAUCAAAACCUCAUAGUUCGUGGUAACAAUUUCAAAAUGAGUGAGUUGCUUUUAAUCAAAAUUUAAGUUAAAAGAGACACAAAGGGCCCACAAGUUUGAACGGGUGUUAGUUCUUUUUGUCUUUUGAAAUUUUAAGUCAAUAUGAUUAGAUUUAUUUACAAGUUUGAUAUAAGAAAAGUGUUUGAAAAUUCAAUGGCAUAACGCCAAAGUUUCUAAUUGAAAUAAGGUCAAAGUUUGAAAUCACAAACAAAGAAGGUUUUUUGAAAAAGGGGGAGAGAUUUUGAAAUUUAAGAAGUGGGAGGAGAUGAAGAGACUAAUCCUAAGCAUAAAAUUAAAAGUUAAGAGUUGAAAAGAUCUGACCAAUGAGAUGCAAUCCAACAGACAAUUUGAAAUUUAAGAAGUGGGAGGAGAUGAAGAGACUAAUCCUAAGCAUAAAAUUAAAAGUUAAGAGUUGAAAAGAUCUGACCAAUGAGAUGCAAUCCAACAGACAAGAAUGUCAUAUAGAAAACCCACUUUCCCUUUGGAAUUUGAAUCAGGAAAUAAUUAGCAAGCAAUUAGCAAUAUCAGACAUCAUGAAGAUCAAGGCAUCAAACAAAGAUAGCCAUAUCCAAGCAAGCAACUCCAUAGCUAGCAGUCUUCUUUGUCUUCUCAUGUAUUAGAUGAAAUACUCCUUGAUUAAUUCAGAAUAAUGCAUCAGACACAAGAUCAAAAUAACAGUUGGCAUCAAGACAAUGUAGCAGAUGAGUUCAAGUAGAUCCCAAUACUUGCAUCAGAUGAAGGCUCAAAUCACAAUAAUUUGGUCUCAAAAUGUUGGCAUUGGCCAAGUCCUUUUACAUAUGGAAUGUUGCCUAAUCCUAAGUCCAAAAGUUCAGAUCAAGCCCAACAGUCCACCAAACAUUUUUUAGAGUUUUUGUUGUUUAUUAGAUAUUUUAACGUCCUAAGACCAUAAACACAAACAAAAUACACAAACAAAUAUAUACAAACACAAUAUAUGGCUCAAAUGAGCAAAGUGAAAAUGGCAUAAACAUAAACAAGUUAAAUGAUAUGUAAAUGGCAAUGAAUGAUAAAUGACUUGGAAUUAAAUUGCAUAAAGUAAAUGACUUGAAAGUAAAGCAAUAUUAAUAAGAGUUAGUCAAAUGUUAGUCAAAGUUAAUUAAAUGUUAGUAGUGUUUUACUUUUCAAUUGAUUAAGUCAUUCUUUGGAGAACACUCAACCAUCUAUUCACAAGCAUGGAUCCUUGAACCAAGACAUCUUCCAAUAGAAGGAAAAAAGGCCAAGUUUCCAUACAAUACCAUGAAAGAUGAGAGACUUACAAUCUCACUUACUAGAAUGCUAUGCCUUUAGGGUCAAAAUUUAACUCUAUGUUAAGUAAUCGUAAUUGGACUUAUGUAGAAGUCACAACUAUCUGAGGUCGGACAAUAAAAAUUUAGGUGCUAAUGCAUGUUAGAGAUUUGGUAUAAUGAACCAAACUCCUAAAACGUACCACACACUAAAAAAAAAGAUCACAAGGGAUGAACCUAUCUCAUCCAUACUUGUAUUGGUUCAUCUGACACACGAUCAUUGAUGAACCAAUUAGCCUUAUGAUAUUGAGAUUUUGUUGGUCAAUGGAAAGGAUGGGAAAGAAUGGGAAUGAAGAUAAAGAGGAAGGGGAAAUGAGAGAAACACAAAUUGGUCAUGGGAGGAAUUUCAUCAAAUUAAAAUCAUUCAUUCAUUUUGGGAGAUGAAAUAUACAUUUCAUCAAUCCCCUAAAUCCAAUGAUUUUAAUCCAAUAAAAGUCAAAUCAACCUUGACUAAGGCCCAAACAAAUAGUCAAACAUCACAAGAUCAUAAAAGUGGCUCAACAUAAUUUUUACACAAUUAAUCAAUUAAAAAUCAAAUUAAAAAUGCAUUAAAAUUCAAAUUAAUUUGGUCAAAACCUAAAAUCUCUUCAAAACACCAAAUAAAUGGCCAAUAUAUUUAUCCUAGGUCAAACAAAGUCAAAGGACCUUAGACAAAACAUUUCAUGAUUUUUGAAAAGUCAGAAGUAUUUUUAAAUAAUUAAAAAUUGCACAAAAACAUUUAAUUCAUGAAAAAUAUCAAAAGUAAUCCAAAAAAUAAUUUUAAUUCAGAAAAUGAAAGAAAAAAUAUUUAAAGAUUUUUGGUGAAAGUCCCAUAUUUUUUGGAUUAAAAAGAAAAUUAAUAUGAAUUAAACAAGAUAAAGCAAUCAAAUGAAAAAUCAGAAAAUACAAAAAAACAAGGGCCAUCAGAUCUCCCUCAUUAAUUGAGGUGUCAGAUCUGAAGGCCAAGCACGCGCUAUCCAUGGUGGACUCAAGUCAAAGCGCCACACGCAUGGUAAUCAAAACCAAUGGCCAAGAUUAGAACGCUGGACCAAGAUCAUAUGGUUGGAACCUUGCCAACACACCACCGAAGCCCUAGCUCCGGUCAUCUUCUCCAGUGAGGACCACCAGACUGGUCCAACCAAAAUUCAUGAAAAAUGAAAAAUGAAAAAUGAGUACACUAAUUUAAAGAGAAAAUGCUCAGGAGCACGAAUCUGACCUUCAUUUCUUCCAAUUCCAAGUAUAUUGAAAGAUAUAUGGAUUUGAAAUUUGAGGUUCAUGAUCUGAGUUGCUUCAAUUUGACCUCAAAUUAACUCAAUCUUGUUGCCUACAUUGGUAGGACUUCAGCAAACCAAAAAUCACAAAGAAUAGUGGAGAAUUAAGCGAGAAUCGAAGAGAUGAAGUUUCUGAAUUUUCACCUUCGAGUUGCUUCCAAUUUGCUUGAUCUUGAUCUGGAUUUUCUUGAUCCCUCUUCCUAUUUCUUGAAGUGGUUAAUUGAGAUGAAAAGGGAAAUAAAUUCUUGGAGUUUGAAUUUCAAAGCAGAAGGUGAAAUUCAAACUCGAUUUCAAUUGAAAUCUUCAAGAAUUCUAUGAACUUUCCUCUUGGCACGUGCAUUUGUAAGUUGAAUUUGAACUUUCUACAAACAUCAAAGUUGAAGAGCACAUCUUGAAUUUGAUCAUGGAAUUUGAAUAACUUUCAUCUCACAAAAAAUGAGCAAGUUAUGGUCUUGGGAAGUUGACCUCCUAACUAGGGUUCAGACAAAAUGACCUAUAAUAUUUCACCAUAAAAAUGACUUUACAUGCAAAACUAGCUCUAGACUUAAACAUGAAAGUUAUUUGUAAUGUCAUUAUGAGUAACGUUUCUCUUAGAAUCAUUUUCAUAUUACAAAAAUUGUAGGAGAUAGAGUCUAGGGAACCCCAAUUUUGACCGGUUGACUUUCUCUGGUCAACCACCAUGAACCAUCUUGCUAGAUUGACAUUCUCUUGAUUUUUGGGACUCAUGGAGGAUCAUAUAUGUGUAAGAUGAUGUAAUAUGAAGAAUACCUUGAAAUAUUUGAUCAAAUGAUGAACAAACUUGCUGAAGAAGUCACACAAGAUACCCAGAUAAAUUAGGGUUUCCAAGGCCAAUAAGCUUCAAACUCUUGAUGAUUUCUUGAUCAAAAUGAUAUGUGAAGACCAUGGGGAUCCAUAUAUGAUGUCUAGAGUCAAUGUGAGCCAUCUCUUGAUUAGUCUCCUUGCAUUGAGGGUCUCAAACCCUAGAUAUGAGCUUAAUGGAGUGAUCGGCCACCAUUUUCAUUAUGUUUUUGUUGCUUAUCCGACAAGAAACCAAGGAUUUUUAGACACUGUGUACACAUUAUGGUACCUUUACAGUUAAUUUUCAUUCCUGUAAGUUAUUUAAGCAAUUUUAUUAAUUGUCAGUUUUAUUUUAUGUUUUCGCGAUUUUACGCUUCGGUUGUCGUGUUUAUGCCCUUCAGGUCCACGGAGAAUAUCCAAUGGACUCAAUACGAGAAAGUGGAAAGUUAUGGAGUUCGAAAAAAGAAUAUUUCCCAGUUCAGGAGGCCUGACACGGCCACCCGUGUCACCUGACCCGGGCCGUGUCAGGAGGAAGGCCAAGAAAGUACAAGAAAUGCCCAAAACAGUGGCCUGACACGGUCGCCCGUGUUAGCCUGACAUGGCCGUGUCAGGUCACCUAGGGAGUGUCAACUAGGGAAUAACAAGGCAGAGAGCUUACACGGCCGUCCGUGUCAGCCCAAAACGCUAAUUUUCCAGUUUUUGGGCUUUUUUCACCGGGCUUGAGUUGCAGGGACAUUUUGGAGAUUUCCACCUUUUGCCAAGAGAUUUUCGCUAUAUUAGGAGAGUUUAUACAAGAGCAAAGAUCAUCUAGGAACGAGGCGAACACAUAAUUGUCAAGCAAUCAAGUAUUGCAGAGAGCAAGGAAUUCGGAGGGAGGAAGGUUUUCAUGAGCAGAAGCGAUUGAAGAUCGAAGUCAUCCAAUUACUUGUAAUGUGUAUUCUUUAUCUUGAAUUUGUUUUGAAAAAUAUGAGUAGUUAAACCCCCCAAUGCUAGGGGGUGUCCCUGAUUUAGAAUUGUAAUGACUUUGAGUUUACAAUUGCAUUUAUAAUUUUAUUCUUACGGUAACCUUUUGAUAUGUUUAAUGCUUUCUCUUUAGGACCAAUCGAGAUUGUUUUAUUGUUAUCAAUUAGGCUGGGCCGCCAUUGUAAGGUUUUCAUAAGGUUACUCUGCAGUAGAUAUCACCUAGGACUAGGGAUACCAUGUGUGAAUCAGAGCAUUCUUGAUAUAAUAAAGCUUAACUUCACCCCAAUUGCCUAUGGACAUAGAAAUUAGGGUAAAAUGAUUAAGGGUUUUCUCACCAAGGACUUGGGAGAAAAGACCCUUGAGAACUGGUAGUAAUUGAUAUUUGUUGAUGCAAUAGUGACUCAGUGUUGUUAUAGGGAUAAAACAUACACCUUCUCUGGCAUUGUUCCUCAUACCUUGCAAACCCUUAAUUUUAUUAUUAUUUUAUGUUGCCUUUAUUUUUAUAAUUUUGAAUUUAAAAAUCCCAAUUAUAAUGAUGGUCAUACUGAUGAAGUAAAGAAGUUAAGAAUGUUCCCGUUCACUUUAUGUGAAGAGGCGGAAGAGUGGUUCUACUCUCUUCCAGCUGGCAGUAUUACAUCAUGGGAAGAGAUGGAAAUAACUUUCUUAAAUGAGUAUUUUCCCGCAUCAGUAUUUCUGAGAAAAAGAUAUGAAAUCUUGAACUUCAAACAGAAAUAUGGUGAGUCUUUGGGAGAUACCUACAAAGAUUCAAAAGGGUCCUGGUAGCAUGCCCAACUCAUAAUAUGGAUCAAACUGAACAAAUGCAAAUGUUUGUCAAUGGGCUGAAAAUAAAGACAAAACAGUUAAUUGAUACAGCAGCCAGUGGCUCAACAAAUUUCUCAACAGUCGUCGGUAUUAAAAGGAUCAUUGAAGCGAUAACCGCAAAUGAGCAUCUGGAAUUAUAUGAUAGGUGUACAAGCAAACCUGAAAGAGUCAUUGACCUGAAAGUAGAAGCAAAUAAAAUCCAUUUGGAAGAUACAGUCGCUGCUGAAGUAGAGAAGAAAUUGAAAGCAAUGAAUAUAGGUACUCAACAGGUAGCUCAAAUUCAACCUGCUCAGACCAUCACGUGUGAAAUCUAUAAUGAACCUCACCAUACUGUGUAUUUCUUUGCAACUCCUCAACAAAUUGAAGAGAUAAAGUUCUUAAAGCAAAAUAAUCCCUACUCCAACACUUACAAUCCAGGUUGGAAAAAUCAUCCAAACUUCUCAUGGAAUGAUCAGAGAGGGAAUGUUCCACAACAAGGUCAAGGUCAAUAUCAGACUCAAUAUCAACAACAACAAGCUCCAAAGAAAGCAUAUUGGGAGAUUGCCAUUGAAAAUAUGACUGCUCAAUGUCUGCAAUUCCAAGAAGAGACUAGAAACAAUUAUAAAAACAACACUGCGUCUAUAAAGAAUCUUGAAGUUCAGCUGGGUCAGAUAGCACAACAACUAGCAAAUUCUCGAACACCAGGUUCCUUACCAAGUGAAACAGUUCAAAAUCCAAGAAAUCAGGAGAAUAUUAGUAUUGUCACGACGAAAAAGAAAAAGACCGCUAAAAAGGAAAAAGUUAUACCACAUGGCAAGCCAACUGAAGAGGAAAUUAAAAAGGAGACUAAACCGGUGAUUAAGUUCCCCUAUCCUCAGAGAGUGACAAAGAAGGAACCAAGCGAGUCAGACUUUGAGAAAUUCAUGACAAUGUUUAAAAAGGUAGAUGGUCAUAUGUCUUUCUUUGAAGCACUCGAGAGAAUGCCCAUGUACAAGAAAUUCAUGAAAGAGGUAAUGGCCGAAUAGAAACCAACAGCAGAAGAACUGGUAGCCUGGAAGGAAAAGUAUAGUGCAAAUUCACUAGAGCAGAAAAUUCCAAACAAACAGAAGGAUCCUGGAACGGUAACAAUACCAUGCACAAUUAAAGGAAGAACCUUCAAAAGGGCACUAAUAGAUUCUGGAGCUAGUGUGAGUUUGAUCCAAUUAUAAAUCUAUCACAGGUUGGGUAUUAAAAAUGUCAGUGAUACAAAGACAAAUCUGAAGUUUGUGGAUCACUCGAGAAAGGAUGCAUAUGGUAUAGCAGAAGACGUACUGGUGACAAUAGAGGACUUGAGUUUUCCGGUUGAUUUUGUAAUCCUAUACAUACCUGAAGAUGAUGAUGUUGGUGUAAGCCCUAGAGGCCAAUACUUUUGGUACUUGUAUCGAAUUAUUUAUUAAUAACAAAAGGCUUUUUCUUUAUUAUGUUUGUUUAAUAAAGUCCCUAGAAUAUCUAGUCCGUUUAAUGUAUCAAGUGUGACUUGAUCAUGAGAUCACAUUAAACAUAAGGACACUAUUCUUAAAGUAUCUGUAGUUGAGCUUUAUUGUGAAGUGGGAUAACAUUAAAGCAUAAAGACUAUUAUGUAUAUAGACUGAUGAUCACAUCUCAUGGGUCAUGGAUAAGGAGUUAUCAAGUCUUAAACAUAGGUAUGAAUAUUAAGAGUAAUAUUUAUACUGGAUUGACCCGCUAUGAGAAUACAGAUGAUCACAUCUCAUGGGUCAUGGAUAAGGAGUUAUCAAGUCUUAAACAUAGGUAUGAAUAUUAAGAGUAAUAUUUAUACUGGAUUGACCCGCUAUGAGAAUACUAUAUAGAAUGUUAUGCAACGUGUCAUAAGUUAUUCUCAUGGUGUAUACCACCCUUCGACCUGAAACCACUAUGGAUCCUAGAUGUAGAGUCGAGUGCUUUAUUGUUGAUCAAACGUUGUCCGUAAUUGGAUAACCAUAAAGACAGUUGAUGGGUACUCCGCGAAGCAUGCUGAGGGACAUGAGUGACCUAGAUGGAAUUUGCCCAUCCUACAUAACAGGAUAAAUGUCUAUGGGCCCAAUAUUGAACUGGACAAGGAUGACACGGUCUAUUCCUUGUGUUCAAUAUAGACAUAAGGGCAAAAGGGUAAUUUUACACAUAAGUAUUAUCACAGAAGGAUUUGUCAGAUCACAUGACAUUUUCGUGUCUUGGGUAGAAGUGAUGUGUUGUUAGAUACCGCUCACUGUUUAUUAUGUUAAAUACGUGAUUUAAUAUAAUUGCCAAUGCCGCGAAAACCUACAGGGUCACACACAAAGGACGGAUUGAUGAGAGAUAGAGUAACUAUGGAACACCGUAAGGUACGGUGCACUUAAGUGAAUUGUAGAACAUCGUAAGGUACGGUGUACUUAAGUAGAAUACGAAAUAUGGUAAGGUACCACGCGCUUAAGGAAUUUGGCAUAUUAUAAGAUAUGGGCCAAAUACACUUAAGUGGGCUUUUUAGCUUGAAGCCCAUACAAGUGGUUCUAUAAAUAGAACCCUUGUGCAAA